rnacentral:lncRNA from 1 species
CCGUACAAAGUGUUGACCUUCUUUAAACUUAAUGUCAAAAACCCCAAUGAUGUCCUUCGAAUCCAUUUUGAUCCCUAAUUAUGAAUUUAAAAGCUCAAAUAAUAGUAAAUAAUUGAAUAGAUCCAAAUAAUACUUUACAGGAUGGAUUAUUGUUAAGACUAGAAAUUUCUUUUUUUCUGUCAUGUCAAGGUCAAGAUGAUACAAUGAAUAGAUUUUCCGGCAUCAAAACAACCUUUUCCGCUAGAUUCUUGAGUUAGAAUGAACUUUAUACCUUGGCUGACUGCAUGUGUGAACUUCUUGCUGUUCAAAUGCCCCAGGACAGACAAUAUGAAGAUUAUGCAGUUAGGAGUUCAGAUAAAUGGUACAAAUUCCUUAUGAAACAACAAAAUUAAUCAAUUUUACUAUUAUCCCCUAAAAACCAAGUUCACUUAUAUGAAUAAAUUAUACAAUAGGCAGAGAGCCGAACCAGGGUGCAUUCUAACCAAAGCAAAGCUGCAGCACCUGGCUCUACAACUGAAUAUCCAGUCAUCAAUGUUAAUAGAGGGUCAUUCCACAAUAAUUAAUAUAUUAUUACAAAAAACACUCAAUACAGAAACACAAAAAUCAAACCCUCUAAGCCUUCUAAGAUAGAAUACAGUCUAGAUGGGUCUUACCAACCAUGAGAGAGAGAGAGAGAGAGAGAGAGAGAGUAGUAGAGAAGAGCGACGUCUCGUCGUCUCUAUCGAGAACGAAGUAUCGACCACGAAGAGACGACACGUCGGUCGUGGUGGUGUACUAGUUCGUUCCGUNNNNNNNNNNNNNNNNNNNNNNNNNNNNNNNNNNNNNNNNNNNNNNNNNNNNNNNNNNNNNNNNNNNNNNNNNNNNNNNNNNNNNNNNNNNNNNNNNNNNNNNNNNNNNNNNNNNNNNNNNNNNNNNNNNNNNNNNNNNNNNNNNNNNNNNNNNNNNNNNNNNNNNNNNNNNNNNNNNNNGUAGGUAGGUAGGUAGGUAGGUAGGUACGGUAGGUAGGGUAGGGUAGGGUAGGGUAGGGAGGGUAGGGAGGGAGGAGGAGGAGGAGAGAGAGAGAGAGAGGAGAGAGAGAGAGAGAGAGGAACUCACUGCAACUGAGGGUUUGACACUUGGCCAGCCAUGUAUCCAAUGCUUCCUGAGAAAAUAUCAAGAAUGAUGAUGUUGGUUGUUUCAGUGAAAAGCAAAGUGAAUAACACUGAUAAAGACAAACAAAACCAGGAAAACAGUAGCAUUCAACCUUGAGGUACACCACCCACAUACGGCGGAACCGAACUCUGAGGAAACCAAGUUGGAUUCAUGCCGCCAAGAAAGGCAGGGGGCAAUGGUGGAUUGGGCAGUGAUGCUUGCAAGGAGCCCAUGUCUAAGAACUGCAAUGACGAAAUGAAAUUUUAUGAAUUCUUUGUAGCACAAAUCUUAAGCCAAAAUGAAACUUACAUAUUGAUUUGUAACUUGCAUAAACUAAAGAUGUAUGUUAAGGAAAAUGUAGUGCUCAAUAUAAGACAUGGAUGCACAACAUUGAGCUUUUGCUUUCAUAAGAUUCAGCUUGGACUAAACAAUUACAUGAGGGUAAAACUAUAUGGAUACUUCUAAAAAAAAAAGGUUAGCAAUGUGAUAAUCACAAUGAUAAGCAGCCUUUUCAACAUUCUCAACUAGGUUAAUAGCUUGAUACUACAUCUUGGUGUAGAGAGAAUGCCCAGGGCCAGAAACCCUUGAUACUACAUCUUGGCGGUCAGCUUUAAAUAUUAAAUGCAACAAUAUGGAGAACUAAAGUGUUAAUGGAGAUAAGCCCAUUUAUUACUCAGCUAAAAAGAGAUAUAGGAGAUACAGCCACGCAUUGCCAGAGUUCCAUUGAACUAGAACAAGUGAUGAACAUAAAAAGAAGAAUAGCUAUCCAAUCAGAGUUAUUGCUCCCUGCUAGGACAAACAGAGUAACUGAAAUUGUCAACCAGUGCACAAAAACUUGGCUUGGGCUAGGGAUUCAGCCCCUGCCCGAUCCUAGUAUCUCCGGUAAGUCUGAAUGAACUUUGCCCGAGGCAUGCACAAAGCCAAAAAAGCAAACUAAACUAUAAACAGCAUCAAGUCUAAAAAUGGAAUACACACACACAGGCAUGCACACACACACACACACACAUAAGAACUUGGAAAAAAAAUUGAUUUAUAGCCAAAAACAAUUAAGAGAAAUCCAAAAAUAUGAUAAAACAGAAAAAUAGACCAUAUAAUAAGAACAACUUUCAAAUCAUUAUAAAAAACAUCAAAAUUGUAUAUAAUUAUUUGGCAAAGAUUUUAAUUUUAAUUUUUAGUUUUAUAUGCCUGAGUUUGUAUCCAGAACUCGGGCUCAGCAAGGUGCCGAGUUCGAGCGACUCAGCUGAGUCCAAGUCAUCACGGUCGAGUUGAAAGAUGUCAACAGAUACAUAUAUUAUUAUCAUCACCAGCAUCACAUAUAUAUUUAUGUGAGCAUGAAUCUGGAGUUCUGGACAGCAUGCCAAGCACAGAGAUAAACACAUAUUCUCCGCAAUUAUGCAUAUAUAGUUUUCCAUUUUCUAUUGCAUGCAUAUCUAGCUUUCAAACUACAAUACUGGCUAAUAUUUACUUUCCAUUAUCCUCUGCUUAAAAGAAAGUUCAAUGGUUACCGUAUUGUCAGCUUCUUCUUCAGAAUCAAAGGGAAGGUCAAAGGGGUUUGUAGUUUUCUUGCUUUGUAACUGCAACGGCAUUUGUCCCUGUGAGUGAACAAAUUUUAAGCAUCAGAAGAUUAAAAUAUUUGGAUAAUACAGGUGCCUGCUGUCACUUGUUAUCAAGGAAAAGUAUACCACAGUCCAUUGGUGUCAACAUCAACACCAUCCAGGCUGUCCAUUGGUGAAAAGGAUGGAUGGUGAUGCAAAGUGUGGGAGCCAUAAGACAGGACAUGAUCCCAAUACUGCACCCACUCUCUCCUCACCACCCUCCGUCACUUCAUCACAGAGUCCUGGCCAAGGCCACAACGGACUAUUGUUUUCCUUCCAUAGUCUACUUGACAAUGCUAUAUUUCACGCCUCUUACUAAGGGAUUGUAUACUAUGAUACCAUUUAUCCUUAGUACAAGUAGGUCACAACUAACCUUAGCCAUUAGAUGUCCGAUUGGAUUGCUUGGGGUGUAUCACGAAGUUCACGAAAUUUUUUGUGGGGCUUUGAGAUUAAUCACAAGUACAGUUACAACCAUCUGAUUUGAAAUUUGAUGGACAAAAAUAAUUGUGACCUCCUUGUACUAAAAGUAAAUGGUCUCUUUAUAUACUUUUCCUACUAUUAAAUAGAUCCACCCUGCUACCAAAGAACAACAUUUUUGACACUACAACUGACCAUCAUAGCCAUUGCUGAUGGAAGGAAUCCAGAUCCAUUGGCAGCACCAUUAUAUGGUACACCUGGUUCAGGGAUUCUGCUAUUGAUGGAGGGUUGUAGGGUAACAACUUUACUAAUGUCCUGUCACGAGAUAAAAGGAUGAGGCUCCAAAAAUAGUGAGGAUCAAAUUCAAUCAAGUAGUUAAAGAAGAUGAUACCUCAGAUACUCUAGCACUGUCCUGAUGGCCAGGUGUUGGAGUUUUUACCUGAAUUUGAACCUCACUCUUUUGUUGAAUAUUCUCAAACAAAGCUAAAGAAAAGUUAUCUUUCGAAGUAUCAAAAGCACUCCAUGACUGCACAAAAGCAUAUCCAAAAUGUCCACGAAAUCAGAUUGCACACUUCAGAACAAAUAUUAUCUCAGCCCAAGAUUGAAAAGCCAAAAAAAUUUUCAAUCAUGCAGAACAAACUACAUAUGUAUAUGUAUAUAUGAACAUAUAUAUAUGUACAUAUGUACAUACAUAUAAACAGCCUCUUUCUUUCACCCCAACCCUUCAAUAAGUAACAUAGCUAUAAAGUUUGCAAGUGCUUAAUAAACAUUUAACAAUAUUAAUAAACAUCUAGCAAUCUUACUUGAGAGCUUGUUGGAGCACUCGGUACUUGAGCAUUGUAUCCCACACUGGGCCACUGAUCCACCACAGAUGGGAAAGAUCCCUGAGUAGUUGAAUUUUGAACUGAAGGCCGCUGCAGGUUGGCGUUCACAGAUGAAACCACUUCAUGGUCUACUUUAGAGGGUUCCUUCCCAGACAGCAAAACUAACGGAGCAUUUUCUUUUGCAGCGGGUGUUACGAACUGUUGAGGAAAAUCAAAGGUAGCCCAUCCUUCGUUUUCUACAACAGGCACUGAAGGCGGGACAACAGAAAGUGGUAAAAGAUUUGGCUCCACAGGAGCCAUAGAUGUUUGAGGAUGAGAGACAUCAGCAAAUAAAUCUAUAGAUGGAACCUUGGUGUUCAUUGGUGGUUGGACAAAUGUCGCUUUGAAAGGCUCAUGAACAAUGGGAACAUUUGGAGUUGAAGCUUGUGCUCCAAAAGGAGGAGGAGAUUGACCAAUUUGUGGAGGUAGAGCAGACUGUUCUGCAUCUGAACCAAUAUCGAUUAAAUUAGGUGAAUUAACGGUAGUUGCAGAUAAGGAGUUGCUGUCAAAGGAUCCAAAGCUGCCCAAAGAUGUUGUUCUCUGAAGAAAAGAGAAGAGUUACCAAUGAGAGUGUUAAUGUAUCCAACAGGGGAAAAAAAAGUAAAGAAUAUAAUUGGGGCGAUUUGGGCUUGGUCUGAUUGGUUAAGGUAAUGACAACUGCAAGACUUAUUUGCAAGUUCGAAUCCUACUGCUGAACUACCCAACAGCAAAACAUAUUGUUAUGAGGUAAUACAACAACGGUAAAACCUAAUGGACUAUGGAAAAAGUCAUCAACACACGACGAAAUGAUGGAAGGUGAUGAAGAGAGAAUGGGAACCACCAUAACAGGACAUUACCCGAAUAGUGAAUCAAGUCUCAAUCCGUGCAACAUUUUCAUAGUAUGAAAAUGAUCCUAAUGGACUGCCGAUUUCCAUAGUCCAUGGGAUUGAAGCAUACUUCUCCACACAAUUAGGUUUCAAUAAAGCGAGCAUAAGCAAUACUUAUUAUUUUUACGCCACUUUCAUCAAAGACUAUACCUGUGAGUGAGUAGACCUGUCCAUAUUUUGGACAACAUUCUCUGAUGACUUGGUUAUCUUCCUUAUUUGUCCAUCAAUGUCCCUUACAGAGUGAAUAGGAGAGCUGCCAAAUUCACCAACUCUCAUACCAGGGAGCUCAUUGGCAAACCUGUCUUCGUGCCUAGGCCAGUCUCCUUCUGAUCGACCGGGACUGCAAAGGAUGCUAGAAAGUUUCCCUUCAUAACCACCUCUGUCUGAGCCAGGCUUUCUAGUAAGAGAGCCAGAUUGCUUUCCAUAAAGUCGAUCUUCAUAUUGAUAAUCAUAUGGAGGACUUUGAGAAAAGGAAUGAUAAGAACUGGCCCGCCUGGUAUCGUCCUCAUAAUUUUUAUAGCUCUGCAAAGCAUUAAUACUAGCUAUAUCAUGUAAGGACCUUUGCCUUCUUUCCGAAAGAAAACCCAGUAAAAAUCUGGACUGUGAUUUAUAAUGGGCCAAGUGCCCGAUGGUGACAUAGCCCAUUGGAUUGUAUAUGCAGGCCACCACCUUCCAAUGAAAUGAUGGAUGGUAAUGAUGAUAGAGUGGGACCCACCAUAAUGUUCUACACUGUUCUGAUGUGUCUCACUCUGUCCAUCACCAUCCAGCAACUCAAUGGACAGUUAUGACCCCAAUGAACUAUGGUUUCCAAUUUCCGUAUUCCAUGCUUAAAAAAAAAACCCAUUACCUGCACAUCUCUUGGCGGCUUCUCACUUGGCCUCAACCCAGCAUAACGCCUAUCCACAUAGACAUGCUUUAUAAAAUCCCGAAUUUUAUUAACAUUACUGCAGAAACACCAUACUAUAAAGAAAUUAGUACAGUAAUAAAUACUUAGUAUGGUUGGUAUGGUAAUACACCGAACAGACAGGCGAGGUUACCUGCUGUCAGGAACAGUAUUUCGUUGUGGGUCCCAAUCCUUUAGAAAGGUUUCCCUUGAGCGCUGUCAUGGAAGAAACAGUUAAGCAUGCUAAGCAGAAGAAUAAGCACCCACUAUCAGUGGGGGAUAAGAAGGUAUAUAAAAAUGGCUCUGUUUACCUGAUUACCACCUCUCUGAAGAGCUUCAACUUCCUGAGAAGUAAACUUGGACAUGGAGACAGACUUCACACGAUGAGUAAACUCACGACUGUAUGACCAUCAAAGUUGACCCAUUAAAAUCAUAAACUUUGGUAAAAUAUACAAGAGAAGUAAUGUGGAAUAGGAAAUAAUUUGGCAACUUCACAUGAUGAGCAAAUUCACAACUGACUGUCAAAGUUGACCUAUUAAAACCUUAAAAAGUGUGAAACAGAAAAUAAUUUGGCAAUGACCAUCGUCAAAAUGCAAGUUUUAGCAAAGAGCCCACAAACAUAUGAAGGAUGAGUGGUUAUAUUUGAAACUCCACAUGUCGUACCCAAAUCAUGCAAUGAUCGCAAUCAGCAACCGUAAUAUCAGAUUUUCUGAACUUCAAAAAACAAAUAAAUACACAAGCUCACAUAGUUGCUAACGUGCAAAUUGACUCAGUCAUGUUCAAGACUGAGUCCGGGUUUGAGUUCAAUAUUUUUAAACAAUGGCCACAUGCUUCUCAAUUUCAAGUGGGAGCAUGGGUUCAGAUUGUGUCUCCUUACAUCCAGAAACUUGCCAACAACAAAUAAAUUGAAACAUGUUCCCAAGUCCCAAAUACACAUCCAACGAGUCAACAACAUUCAAUAUUAAGAGUGGCGCACCUUCGCCAGGAUGUAAAACUAGGCUAAUGUGCUGUCUACAAGUUUUUUCAUAGUUCUAUCUACUGAAAGUUUCUACUUGCAGUUAAAAUCGCUCAUUUUAUGAAGUUGACAAUGAAUUUCUUUCGUUUCAAAUAGCAAAGAGCAAAGUAUUUAACAUUCUACCCAUAUCUUUGUAUUUAGUUUCAAAAUACCCAUCAAAAGACACAUGAUCGUGAGUUGAAAUAGCUGCAAAUGAGUAAAAUAUUGAAUAAUUCAUCUCUUAUGGCUAGUUAAUUAAAUUUCACAAAUUUGAAAUAAACAUGAUUUUAGUAUAAAUCUAUCUUGUGCUUUCGAGACAGAUUUUGCCAAAUGUUGUCCAUCUCUAAUCAACAAGUGCAAAUACGCUCAAAACUUUUUAAGGAUAGGAUACAAUUUUGAAGAGGUUUCCAAAGCCAAGCUUAGUUGAUUUUAUAACAUUCUACCCACAAGCCCACCUUAGUCUACUCUCUCAUUUUAUCGCCUAUUGGUGCCACACCUAAAUUUUCUCGAUUAUUCAUUUCGAAUUCUAUCCUUGUCUUGCCACUCAUCCAUCUCAACAUCUUCAUCUCUGCUACACUCAUGAUAUGCGUAUAUUGUUUUUUGACCGCUUGACAUUAUGCUCCAUAGAGCAAAGCUGGCUGCAUAGUUGUCCUAUAGAGCUUGCUCUUCAGCAUCAUUGGUAUGCGACGAUCACAUAAAUUCCUGCUGCACAUCUCGACUCUGCCCACCCAACUCAAUUCUAUGCGCGACAUCUUCCUCAAUCUCUCCAUUUUCCUAGGUUAUCGACCCAAGAUAUCGAAAAUAUGCUCUUUUUGGUUUUUCCUAGCCGUCGAUCUUAUUACUUCCUCGCCUAUACUAAUAUUAUUACUAAACUUGCAUUUCAUAUACUCUGUCUUAAUCCGGCGAAUUUUAAAACCUUUAGAUUCUAGAUCAUCCCUCCAAAAUUCUAACUUUCGGGUCUCAUUGAUCAAACCAAACAACAUGCACCAUGGUACCUCAUAUUUUAGGUACCUAAUCAAGUCGUCUAUAACUAAGACAAAGAGGUACAGACUCAAUACUGACUCCUGAUGUAGACCUAUUGUCACUGACAACUCACUUGUCUUUCCACUAGUUGUUCAUACGCUAGUUAGCGCUCCAUCGUACAUAUCUCUCACCAAGUCGAUGUAGUAUCUGAAGACUCAUUUCUUUUCCAACACCCACCAAAUCUCUCACCAAGUCGAUGUAGUAUCUGAAGACUCAUUUCUUUUCCAACACCCACCAAAUCAAAUAUCAAGGUACUUUAUCAUAAGUUUUCUCUAGAUCAGUAAAUACCAUGUGGCGAUCUUUUCCCUUCGCCUAAACUUCUCAAUCAGUUGCCUAAGUAGAAAAAUAGCCUCAGUUGUUAAGCUCCCUGACAAAAAAUCCUAUCGAAUUUCUGAUGCACUUGUUUCAUGCCUUCAUCGUUGCUCAAUCACUCUCUCCCAAAGUUUCAUAGUGUGGCUUAUAAGUUUGAUCCCUCAAUAGUUCACACAAUUCUGUAUGUCAUUUGUUCUUUGUAAAUAGAUACCGCAAUACAACAACAAUUACAUGAGAAUCAUGUUAAUGCAUGUUCACAUUUUUACAAACACAAUAAUAAAAAAGAAGCAGAAAAUAGACAUAGAUCACAAGCAAAACUUGUAAAUGCAAAUAGAUGGUAAAUUGUGCCCUUCAAAUAUGAAGUAUCUUCCAUCCUAGAAACAUACAUUUCCAUAUGGAGUAUUGCAAAGCUUGCCAUUAGUGGGGAUUAUAAAUUUGUGCAUUUUAUUACAAAUUCAUGGCCUCACAAAUAUGAGAUCAGUCAACAUUGUCAAUGUUCAACAAGACCCAGUUUGGGUGUGCAGUUACUCAUAAGUAAGUCUCAUUCCAAAAAUUCUCAGUCUUCAUUCUCACCAAAGGGUAGGGGCCCAAAUCCCUACUGACUAACCCUUUAACUUACCCAAAAAUAAGUCUCAUUCCAAAAUUGACUGAUUCUUUUUUUUUGGAGUGCAUAAAAUUGACUCAUUUAUGAAUAUGAAAAAGCAUUAUUCAGUGAUCUGCAUUCAUGGAAUCUUGUUUCUCUUCCUUGCUUCUUUGAAAAACAUAGAAUUCUCUUUUUUGCCUAUUACAAAAAGGACUGCUUGAACCUUAUGAAUAACCCCUUUCACAGACAUAAUUACAGAAGCAUCCAAGCAGGAAAUUCACCCUACAAUUGUUAGGAACUUCACACAUUCAAGGGGUUUUUCUUCAAUUCAAAUAGCUCUUCACAGUACAUGCAAGCAGCAAGGCUUCGAUAGAGGCCAAGAGCUAACACCAACAAUUGCAAAUUAAAUUGUUGGAUAUUGCUUCAAACGAGUGUUAGCAAACUCGGACUUGCUUGGGAACUAGCCAUAAGCCCCGAGCAAGUCAGCUCGGCAAGCCCCUGUUGGACUCACCAAAUUUUCACUGAGUUGGGUGAGUUGGCCUGAAAAAUUCUCAAAAAAGGAAAACUCAUAAAGAACAAAAAAAAUUAUAAAACGUGUAUACAAUAUGUAAAACAAUAAACAAUCAAUAUCAUUAACUAAUAACUAACUGAAAUUAUCCAAUAAUAUAAUGAAAUCUCAACGAUACUAGAUAAUACUUGAUACUAUAAUUUCAAAUUUUCGAUAGUAAAUCAAAUGAGUCCCAUCAAUUCCAAGUUCCCACUUCAUAUUAAAGAGUGUGACUGUGUAAAAAAAAAAGCAAAAAAGAACGUUAUCAAUGGCUAAAAUAUUAUCUUUGUACACCGCUAAAAUGUCUUUGUGUACAUCAAGGUUUUAAAGCUCCCCUCAGCCAAGGUACUUGGCCUAACUCAGCCUAGUUAUGUACACCACCCAAAUAUGUCAAAAAAAAAAGUAAGAAAUUCGUAAAAAUACUUAAAAAAUAAGAACAAUUAUGAGAGGUGAUAGAAAUCAUUAGAAGACUUAAGAAGAUGAAAAACAAAUCCUUAAAUAUGGACUAUUGAAAAUUUUGACUUAUAACUCAAACAUUUUUGAAAUAUUAUAAAAAAGGAAAAAAAUAUGAAUGUCCCCAAAUUUUUCUAAAAUAGUCAGAAUCGUCUAAAAACAUAUUUCUAAAUCAUAUAUUAGUAUUUUCCACCUUGAUGCCUGACAAGUUCGGCAACCCCACUCACGCCUCACCUGCCUUGCCUUACUUGGCUGAGUCCAAAUGGACUUCUCGGACACAACCGAGUCUACAAACACCGGUAUACAUAAAAAUGAAAAGGAAAUCAAAGCUUACUCAUUUUUUUUAAGAGAAAGCAAAAACAAUACAAUAAUAACUACACUUUUACUAGAAUGAGGUUAACAGCCCCAAAAAAAUCAUUUAUAUGAAUUUAAAUUGAAAACUGAAAGUUACCCAACAUUUCAAAGCCAAUCCUCCAAUCUUUGCACUUGAAGAGAACCAAUGCCUCCAAUCUUUGUCAAAGGGUCCUCAAAUACCCCAAAAUAGAACCCCUAAACCAGAUUAGUUGAUCCAAACUCUUGAAAAUUUGGAGCAAAUUGGUUUUCAAAAUCUCGCAAGUCCGAGAUUUUGUGAGUGGUCUUUUGUAAGAGGUAAGCCAAUGAUUCGAUAAAUAAACCAAAACAGACCAAGGUAACAAAUUUCAACCAAGAACAAUCUAGGGUUGCAAAGCAAUUACAACUUUGCAAGUUUUCAAAAUUUUGCCAAACCCUAGCUCAAAAUUUUCAAUCUCUCGUAUCCAAUAAACUUUAGAUUUUUUUCACGAAUCUGAUCUAGUGAAGUUAGCAUGAAAAAAUGACACCAUACACUAAAUUUGAGCUCAAUUCCAGGAUCAGUGGAAGAAAAAUGAACAAAAAUGAGGUUUAGGUCCCCUCCCCUUUCCCUUUUUAAACUGAAAAACUAUUGAAUUCAACGAGUCCAUACAGACUCCGCAUGUAUGUCAGAAGCUUGGCAAGUCGACAGUACCCCCUCCCCAAGUAGGGCAGUUCUAGGCUCGGCACCAGUUCGUCAAACCCUUGUGGACUCCACAAGUUUUUCAACAGUAAUCAGACGACUGCGUAAUAUUGAAUACAGCUUGAUUUUGGAUAGAUCUGCAAGCUUUAAGAUUUGAAAAUUUGUGGGAGGAAUUUUUUUUUAAUUUUUUAAGAAGAAAGAAAAAAAGGAAAAAAUAUAAUAAAAAAGGAGACAAAAAAGGAAAUAGGAAAAGGAAAAAGUUACACCCUCCACUACUCCCUCUCCCACCUUUAUCACUACUAUCUCCCUCUCUUACCCCAUUCUCCCCCCUCUCUCAGUCUAGCUUCACACCCACCAAUUCCACUGGCAUCCCUCUCUCCAAUUGAUCCUGGCUAACCCUCCCAAUCUCAACCUGACCACCGGCCACUCUCCUUUCAUCAAUCUUCUCUGUGUACCUCAAAACAAUGGCUUCUUCUUCCUCCCCUCCUUUCUCACUGCACCCCUUCUCUACUUCUCUCUCUGAGUCUCUGUUCAUCUCUUCCCACCUAUACUAUGUCUAUCUUUUUUCACAGCCCACAGGCCCCCCCUCUGGAUGAUGGGCAAUCUGCUUGUCACAGCUACUUCCUCUUGCUGCCUUCUCCUCUUUGUUUUCACCCCUUCUUCUUCUUCCCCAACUCUUGGGAAUGCUCUACUCUAAGCACCUGGUUUGUGGACCUUAAUUCCACACCAAAUGGAUUUGUUUCACGGGGAUUUUUUUUUGCCUCUUCCUUUUUUCGUCCCCUUUUCACCUUGGGAUAUUCUCCUUCCCCUUUUAACAUUGGGAUUUUCUGUUGUAAUCUGAGCACCCAACCUGUGGGCUGCCUAAUUACCACCUUUGUGGUUUUGUAUAGUUUUUUUUUACAAAUCAAAAGUUAACCUUCUCAUAAAAAAAAACAUAAACAAAAAAUUAUAGGUGGAAUUUUAUAGGUUCCAUAAUAUGGUCAUAGAGCGGGCGGGAUGCAAGCCCAUCACUAGAAAGGCUUGUUUUGAGUUUUUGACAAACAGCUGCAUAAUGAAUACAUUAAAAUAUAUAAAAAAACUGAAUCUCGCUUUUAAAUUAUAUGUUUCUUUUUGGUUAAGCAUUUCUUAGCUUUAUGUCAAUUAAAAAAAAAAGGAAGAAAAGAGUGAACAACAAUAUAGGAAAUAAAUCAUUAACCCCACUAUUUGCAUAACAAUGAGACACCCAGUCUGGGUUGCGAGAGGUAUUGGGUUGAACCUCUCUUGUACACGAAGACCUACCCAAAAAUCAGGAAAAUUGAACACUGAGAAACAAACAUAUGCAAUGCACAUUAGAUUGGUCAUCUUGUGAGGAAGGUCUUGUUUUUAAAAGAGAGAGAGAGAGUUAACAGAGGCAUAAUAAAUCACACUGUGGCAUUUGGCCAGUUUAUGUGAUGAAGCUCAAGUACAAAGUUUGCCCCUCAAAUUUCUUAUAAUCAGCAAUAUGAUGCAAUACCAAUUCACAUAAAACUAAACAUGGAGGUAAAAUCAAUGUCUACUAUUUCUGAUCCUCGAGUAAGGAAACAAUAUACAAUUCGACAUCAAAAGGCAUUGAUAAUGGAAAAAUGUAAUAAAUUGAGGGAUGAGAAACAUUUACUGUAUUCCGCUGCAAUUCGUACAAACAAAGGUCCAGAAAUUAGUGCAAACGUAUUGAGGACCCUGAACACCACAAAACCAAUAUAUUUUCAGAUGAUCAUAAAUACAUCAUAAUAAAUUAUCUAAAUCAGUUUCUUUAAAUAUGCAUACAAUAGAGCGUAAAUGGAGAAGAUGGGCAAUAUUUCUUGAAACUUUAAAAGUCAGGGGAUGAACAACAGUGCGUAGGGCUCGUCCAGUGGCUUCUGUAUCAAAAUUCAUAAAAAUCAAAGCCGUGGAAGACAGACAAAAAAUAUAUAAAAAAUAGUGAAAAAAAAUACCACAUUUGAGUUCUAAAUCAAUCCAAGUCUCCUGAAAUCAAAAUUCAUCUCAACUUGUACAUAUAAAUAAAAUUUAGCCCAAUCCGAGCUGAAAAGUAACUGAAUCCUAAGAAAUUACCAGACUGUUACAGUUGAUGCAUCUCCUAUUAGGGGGAAGCUUCAUGAGACCUCGUAUAAUCUUCUCGUUCCUCUCAUCCUCCUUCAUUCUACUGCCCAUCUUGCCAAAAUCCUAAUCUAUCUGCAAAACGAUGCUAACAAAUGCAAUGAAACCCUGAAACAAUAUCCAAAAACCCACAGUUACAAAGAAACACACGAUAUUCAAAGAAGAAACCACAUGCAUUACCUCGAAUGGAUAAUGAAAACCCUAAAACGACCAAACUUUGGUGAAAUCCAAGCAAGAAGCAUGGGAAAACCCAUGCAAGAGAAAUGCGAACUCAAACAAUUGCCCAAGGGGUCGAAAUGAACCCUAUAAAUGGCUUCUGAGGUAAAAUCGAAUACGAGGUCCACGACAAAAAGCCUUAAAAAUGAGUGAGAUAACGCUUUACCUUGACCUCUCUUCCUCUGAAACACAGAGCAUAGGGUUUUGGAAACUUAAACUUCUUUUAUUGUGAAGAAAAAAUAUUUCCUCUGCAACCGUAUUUUUGAGAAAAUGCUUUUUUUGAACCACGAGAUUUUAUAGGCUCCCGAAAUAUUAAUAUAUUUGAUUAUUAAAAUAACGAUAUCGGAAUUCUUUCACCCAAAACAUGGGUGGCAAAACAAUUUUGGUAAAACCAUUAUACCAAAUUCUUUUUGGAUUUUAAUAAAAUGGGUGAGGUCUUUAUAAGUUGCGAGCCAAUUAAAGUGCACCUCCAAAUUCUAUCAUAACAUGAAAUUUUGUUGUAAAAAAUUUUUAGAAUUAUUUUAAAAUUUAUUUUUAUAUCUACUUAAAAAAUUUAAAAUUUUGAAAAUGGUUAAAAUCAAGUAGAUCUAAAAUCUUGAAAAUGUAUGGUCUAGAUAAUGUGUUGUAAGAUGCAUUAUUUAUGGGGUUAAAAAACUUUUUGUUUUUCAUAUUCAUAUAUAUUGUUGUCAAGAUGAUCAAUUAGAGGGUUUUUCAACAUUAAAACAACAUUUCUAAUGGAUUUUUUAGGUGCAACUGUGAUUAUACAUUUUAAGGUAGCAACCUUAUAUAAACUUUUCCCUUGAUAAAAACAAAAAGUUUAUAUAUGGUUGCAUUCUUAAAAUGUAGAAAUACAGAUGCACCUCCAAAAUUCAUCGGAGAAUAUUGUUUUGAUAUUGAAAAAACCUCUAGUUGAUCAUCUCGAUAUAGAGAUAUAUGAAUAUGACAAAAUAUAUCUUGAGUCUCGAAAAUAGUGCAUCUUAUAACACAUUAUAUAGACCGUCUAUUUUCAAGAUUUUCAUAUGUUUGUAGAUCUACUUUAUUUUAACUAUUUUUGGAGUUUAUAAUUUUAUAAUUAGAUAUGAAAAAUAGAUUUUUAGAUAAUCCAAAUAAUUUAUUAUACAUAAAUUAUAUCCUAUGAUAAAAUUGGAGGUGCACCUUAUUUGAAUUAUUUAAGGUUGCAACCUUGUAGAAAUCACGCCCUUAAUAAAAUAAUUAGGAUAAAUUUAUCAAAUUACUUAUAAGAUAUGAACAAUUUUACAAUUUGUGUAUAUUUUAGUUAAUUUAAAAUAUCCAUAAAACCAUGCAUGAUCUUGCGUUGGAAUAGGUGCAAAUGAUCAAAAUAUUAAUGGAUGUGGUUUGCAGAAGGUUGCGGGUUGCAAACGUAAACAAUCAAAGUAAGGUACCCUACCAAAUUCUAUUAUAAGACGUAAUUUUGGCGUUAAAUUUUUUUAAGAUGGCUUGAUAAUCUAUUUUUAUCUCUAAUUAAAAAAAAAAAAAGACUUUCUAAAUGAUUUGAAGCUACUAAAUCUAGAAAUACAUAAAAAUCUUGAAAAUAUGUUCUAGAUGAUGCGUUGUUAUAUCUCAAUGUCGAGAUGAUCAAUUAGAAGAUUUUCCAACUCCAUAACAGCCUUAACAAUGGAAUUUUCAGUUGCACCUUAAUUCUACAAUUUAAAGAUGCAAACUUAUAUAAACUUUUUCCAAUAUUAGAUAUUUCAUCAUCUAAGAUUUUUUUGGUAAAUUUUUCAUAAAUAAAUUAGUGGAUAAACUAAAAUAUUGGUAAAAUCCUUUGUAUUUGUAGGGAUAAGUAGGAAGGCUUAUGAAAUGGAAAUGUCUUAGUGCAUUUUUGUCGAAUCUCGAAGCUCAUUUUGAGGUCACUUAAUGAGCUAUUUAAAAGUUAAUCAGAAGAAUGACUUAGUAUUUAAAAUUAGAUUAAAAGUAUGAUUUUGUUAAAAUGCCCAUUAGAGGUAGACAUGUGCAAUUAUUCCAACUCAUACCGUUUUGAUAUUAAAUCGAAACAUGGAUCUUUUGAUAUUAAAACGAAACAUGGAUCUUUUGAUAUAAAAUCGAAACAUGGACAUAGAAAUCUCCAUGAUGGCGCUAAAAUCAAAUUCACUAUAAUAUAAAAUUAAAAUAAUUGUACAGAUCUUGUAGAUCCAUGAACACUUAUUUUUAGCGUGCAAUAGACGGUCUAGAUAAUAGGUUACAAUGUAGACUAUUUUAGGGCUUAUGUUACAAUCCACACUAAUUUAGGGCUUGAAAUCCUAUUUUGUUUUCACAAGCAUAAUAGUUGAAGGCCUAUCAAUUUCAAGGUUUUCCAAAUGCAAUAACUAUAAUUUUUGGUGAAUUUUAAGAUGAGGAUUUACUUAGAACUACAGCCCUAUCAAAACAAUUUCAUAUGUUAAAUAGUUGAUACCAAAGUUUGAUGUGAUUAAUUUCCUCAAUAAUUGAUUAAUGCGUUCAAAUCAAACUUCACUCAAGUACUUCCUUUAAAAUAUUCAAAGCGGUUUGGAACCAUCUAGACACAGAUAGUACCAAGUGGGCUCAUUGAUUUUUCAAUCGCAAUUUCCAAGUUUGGUCCUGGAAUAAGUUGUGUGGUAUCUUAAUUGGUCAAAUCACUUAGCUAAAUAAUUUUAAAUAAAUAAAUGAUCAAAAUAUCCUAAAUACUCAUAAAACUUGUAGGGGUAUUUUGAUUGUUUAUUUUAUUGAAUUAAUUUUUAAUGUCAUCAUACAUGAUAGAUAGAAGUAUUGGGAUGCAAAAAUUAAGCUUAAUCUAACAUAUAUAAAAUAUUUUUUAAAAAAGAAAAGAAAACAUAACAUGUGUUAUAAAACAUGGGGGACUUGAGUGCAAAAUUUAAAAUACAGAUUACUAUUUUAAAAUUUUGGUAAUAAAAUAGGAUUUUAUUUGAAGCUUCAUUAGAAAAUAAAUAUAAAAAAAAACUUUAAUGUCUCUAAAAGAUAUUAUUAUAGAAUUGAACAUAUGGUAUUUCCUUUUGACUAUCAGAUUUAAGUGUUUGAAAACUAUAAAUUCAAACAUUAUUUGUAAAUAACUGGUGAUUCAAAAGUGGAUCCUAAUAUUUCACAAGAAAACAAUCUCACCAAAUAGAUGUUAUGUUUGAGAGAGCAAGUGUAUGAUUAUUUAUUUCAUUUGUAUCAUUUAUUUAUUUAUUUAUUUUUCUACAUAUUAACGGUGGGAAUGGAGGGCUAGACCUUAUGUUGAAACAAUAACCACUGAUGCUCCUGUCUCAUUCCCUUUUAUUUUAUUUAUUUAUUUAUUUAUUUGUUUAUUGACAUUAACAACAAACACUCUAACACUUGCAUUCACAUGGUGUUGUAUAGAAUAACUCAACCAAAGGGCCAUCAAUUAUCCAUUCUCAGCAACGUAUGGUGAAACAUGAGUUUUUUUAUUUUGUUUUUAUUUUAUUUUUAUGCUGUGAGGUUUAUACUUUGAGUACAAUCAUUCAGUAAUUAUUAGGUGGUUAAAAAAUAAAAUAAAAUUAAUAAGUAGGUCUUCUGGCUAUGAGAGUAAACUUAUAUUUUACUCAUGCGAGAUAAUAAUAUACGUGCUCUCCAUAAAUUGAGGCGUUUUUACAUUUAGCGCGCAUUUGGCCCGUAGGAAAUCUCUCAAUAGGAGGGAAACUUCUUGGUAGGCCCAUACUCUCUUAUGUUUGAUUCAUGGGAAACAUCAGGUCUGAGAGGGGGCAGGGUUAACGCGUUUCUUGAAAGCUAGGGCUGGCAUUGAGCUAGAGUUGGGCCGGGGCGGACCAAACAAACCAUGAUGCCUAUAGGGCUAGCCCGAGCUUGGCCACCCCUAACCAGGAUGAAUAGGCCCUGGACUAGGUUGGACAGGGGCUAGACGAGUGGUAUUGAGUUUAUGGCGUUUAUGCACCAUAAUUAUAGAGGAAUAGGAAAUAGUUGCUUCAAGUAGUCAGGAGGGUCUCUAAGCUUGUCAGUAGAGUAGGGUAUUCAAGGUUAAGUGAUUGUUUGUGUUUCACGAGUGCAGAUCGGUCUAUUUUUUGAAGUAGAAAUUAUUUCCCUAUUUUUCCUCUUUGUUAGUGUUUUUGGAAUAUACUAUUUGUAUGAAUGAAACUCAGUGUUACUAUUAAAAAAAAGGAAAUAUUUAUAUACUUCUCUCACUAAAUAGAAUAUAUGUAUGUCCCCUUCAACUAACCAUUCAAUUAAAAUCAAGUGAGCCACUUAACAUUUGAUCUAAAUCCAAUGUCUCAGAGUUUUUUAUGUUUAGUUUAUUUUUCUAUAUGUUGUAUAGAUAUGAAGUGGUUAGGAGGGCUUAAGCUUGUCAGUAGAGUAGGGUCUUUGAAGUUUAGUGAUUGUUCGUGUUUCAGAAGUGUAGGUCGGUCUUUCUUUGAAGUAGAGAUUUUUUUUGUAUUUUUCCUCUUUUUUAGUGUUUUUGGAUUGUACUAUUUGUAUGAAUGAAACUUGGUGUUAACAUUAUAAAAAAUACUAUUACAAGAUAUACUAUUUUCAAGAUUGGAGCAUUAUUUUUUUUUAAGCCUAUGUAUUUCAAGGUCGAGAUGAUUGGAUUUGAAGGGUUUUUUAUAUUAAAAAAAAGCUUAUUUUAGUAAAUUUAUGAGGUGCAUCUUAGUUUGAUUUUUUAAGGCCUCAACCUUAUAUAAAUUAAUCUAAAAUGUUUUUGAUAUUUUUCAAGAGAAAUUAUUUGGAUAAAUAAAAUUGAGAAAUGAUCUUAUAAGAUAUUCUCCCAUUCAUGAGUAUAGAACCUUAAAAGAUCACCAUUAAAUUUGAUAUAAAUAAAAGCUAAAUCCCACACCCAUAUAAUAAACUUUUAAAAAAUUCAUGUCAACUUUAGUGGGGAUUAUUUGCGUCCUUUACAUAAAUGGGGUAAGGUCUUAAUGGAUCAUUACUUGGUAAAAAUUGUAGAAAAAAUACUCUCUUUUACCCGUGAGAGUUAAUGCAGAAUAUAAUCCCGCCGGAGCAUGCUACAAGCACUCAUAAAGAAGUGACAAAUGUUCAUCGUCUAAGUGAAGCUAAAAGUUUGUCGUGAGCCUUACUAUAAUCUCGCCUUUUGCUCGAAGAGCCAGAGACCCUCCUCUCUCCAUCUCUCUCUCUUAAAACUCUGAUAACUCUCUCUUUCUCUCUCUUAAAACUCGGAUAAGCCCUGGGCUCAUGGCCUCAUCUCUGAGAACUCAUUCUCUCUGUUUUUGUCAUUCUCUGUCUUUAUCCUCUCAAAAACACCCGGCCUUUAUCUCGUGCAAAGCCCACGGUACCCAUUCACUGGUUCCUUCUCUCUCUACAAUCUUAUUCCGGAGACAUAAUAGGAAGUACCCAUUUGCUUUUUCUUUCUCUACAAUCACUGCCUUCAAUGAAUGUGGGAGAGAUUAUCGUUUUCCGACGCUUGUAGCAUUUUCUUCAUCAGGGGAAGUUACAGAGACUGAGGAGCUUGAAGGGGCUCAGACCCUGGUACCAUUCUCAAUCUUCACUGUGAAACAUAUGCUAUUACUCUCUCUCUCUCUCUCUCUUCUAUAUAUAUAUAUAUAUAUAUCUGAUGCAUCCCUGAAUUACAUCACCAUAUAUAUAUAUAUAUAUUUACUUGAAUGCCCAGUUUAUACUGUUGUGGAGUUUGUUCUCUCUCUCUCUAUCUAUCUUUCUCUUCCCGAGGUUGACCCUGCUGGUUUAUAUAACCCAAAUGUCCCCUUUUAAGCUCUAUGAUCAUUAAUUGAAGGGAAUGAUUUUUGUUGGUGGAAGCUGUAAAAGCUCAAUGAAAUGUCGAAUUUAGCUGUUGCAAUUUUCUGUUUUAUGUCUUAUUCUGUUUUCUCAUGAAUAAGACUUGGAGUUGGGAACGUGGGAGUUCAGUUUUGGGAGAUGGUCGUGAGCAAAAAUGUGAUUUUUUUUUUGAGAAAGUGUUAAAUUUUUAUAAUUGAAUUUAUAAAUUACAGUAAAUUUAAUGAAGGCAUCCCACAAGAUGGGUGCUCAGUGUAUAAGAGAUAACGGGUUGAGAGAAUAAACAAAAGAUGGAAAGCAUACACUAAAAGGGCAACGUUAAGGGGAAGUGAAGAUGGGUGAGACUCUGUGAAAGAGCGGUGAAAGGUGGUGCUGGGAGGAACUUGGAAUCGAGUGAGGGAGGUAAAGCCUGGACAGUCCUGUAGGUGAGCUGAAUGUCCUUGGCAGUAGUAGUCUUUAAAGAAGAGUCUGUCCCUACCUGCGAAGGGUUAGUGAAUCUAGACGAAGAAGGGGAGGAAGAGAGGAAGGGGGAGAAGGAAGGGGGAAGGGGCAGGGUGAAAGGUGGGGCUGAAGGGAAGGCUAGACGAGCUUGAAUGGAGACGAGGGAAAAGGGGGAGAAGGGGUGGUAAAGAAAAGGUUGGGAAAAGCAUAGAAGAAGAGAGUUGAAAAAUGAGGGGAGUGGGGGGAGAGAGAGGCAGGAUGAAAGAUAAGGAUGAGGGGAGCAGAGAAGCAAACUAUAAUGAAAGUGAGAAGGGGAGCAGGGAGAUAGAGGUGGCAGUAAGAGAGGUAUGGAGAUAAUGGAGAGCAUUUUUAGUGGGAGAAAGCGUAAUGAUGCAAGUAAAAAGGGGGAAAAAUAGGGCAAAGGUAAUAAUUUGCUUUCUUCUAUCUAUCCUUUUUUCUUCAUUUUUCUUUUUUUUUUUUUGAGAAGGGGGGGAGAGGGGGAGGAGGGUGUCGAGGGAGACGAAGAAAGGUGAGGGGGGAGAGAAAGAGAAAGGGGUUAGGGGGUGCUAGGGUGCAUCUGAGGUGCAUUAGCUCCUUCCUUGGCCAACCCAUAGUUGUUGAGGCAGGAGCGAAUUCGGGAGUGGGAUCAAUUCGAGGAACGCCGAACCGCCAUAGGGUGGAAGUUCCCGGGGAUUAGGAUUGUCAUCCAUACAUCGAACAAAUUAAGGAGCUAGAUCCUAACAUUCCUAAGCGUGAGAUCCCAUGUCACUGGGAUCGAGCUUUUGACUCGGGGGGGGGGGGUCUAAGCUCCACUAUACAUAAAAGGAGAUCAAUUAAUAGUAUAUGAUAAAAUUAAGAUCACGCCAAUACCUGCUUGAUUCAUUAUCAUAAACCUUUGCUUAUUACCAAUACUAUAGUUAUAGUAUUCCAAUUUACUACAACAAUACAAUUUAACAAUAUCAUACAUUAGCUUACAAUGACAUCAAAAUGUAGUUUUUUUAAUAUCAUAAUCAUAAUAUAACACGAUCUGAUAUGCACCACAAUUUAAAAUAUUAUAAAGAAAUGAAUCGAUAAUAUCAAGGAGAGGAGCAGUAGUUCAAUCAAUUGUAUAGCUCCUCUCCUUGGAGGGUUUCUACAAGCAUGUGGACCGAGAUCCCAUUGUAUAAGGAGCGAGAUCCCUAUUUCUCUAAACCAGCUCCAUCUAAGAUCGCUUAAAGGAAUCGCGGGAUCAAGUUCCUAAGGUGGGACCAUGGCCUUACCCCCAAUGUUCCCGCAACUAUGGACCAACCUAUCUGCUUCAGCAUUGGCUUCUCUUGGGAUGUACUUGAAUUUUAUCUGAGGGAUGAAGCUGCACAAGAAAUCAAUAUGCUAAAAAUUGAGUGAAGACGAUAGGGUGGUUGGUGUCGGUGAGAUGCCCAAGUAAUGGAGUUGCUGGAGUCAAACUCAAUAAUAAGUCCCUUGUAAGUGAGGCCACCUUGCGAUACUCUUUUGAGGCCUUCCAAAAUAGCUAGCGCCUUAGCUGUGGUUGAGUCAGCAAUCCCAAUGUGUUAAGAGAAAGUGAGUAGGAUUCCAUUGGAGCUAGCCAAUGUGCCUCUUAUGCCUGAAGGACCAUGGUUUCCAAGGAAAGACCCAUCCGUGUUUAGCUUGAGGAAGCCCAGCGGGGGGAGGACCACUGGGGUGAGCUUUUGUUGGGAGGGGAUGAGAGGUUCAAGAGUAUUUCCCAAUUAGUACGGUAGUGGGAGAUGGGUAAAGUAGCAAAGAGGGGGAGAAGCUUAGCCCAGAGGGAAAUAAGAGCUGUGAUAGAGUAAAAAAUGGAGCUUGGCUUCUAGAAAUUCCUCUGAAAGUUUUGGAAAUGCUUUCUAACUGAAUACUCCAAAGGAGAGCGACAACUAACAUGUGCCAAAGUUUCCUGGCCUGUUUUGCAAAAGGUGGGGAGAGGAGAGAGGUGAAGAGGUUUUGAAGAGAAGGUGGAGUUACCCAUUGGAGGCCGAAAAGCUUAAGGAGGGAGGACCAUAUGCCGUGAGUAACCUCACAAUGAAUAAAGAGAUGGGUGAUGGUUUCCUCGUCUUGGAGGCAUAAAGAACAACUGUUUGACAAAUGGAUACCUCUACGCUAAAGUUGGUCUGGGGUUAGGGUUUUCCCUUGCAAGAGAACCCCUACAAAGGCUUGGAUUUUGUGAGGCACAUGCAGGGACCGUGACUUGUUGAGUAGAGGUGCUGGUGAUAGAUUAAGAAGAAGAAUGAGUAGAAGGAGGAUACCGAGAAGGUGCCAGAACGGUUGGGGCUCCAAAUAAUAGAAUCUUGCCGAUGGAGAGUACUGAAAAUAGGGACCAACAUCAAAAGGAGGGAGUUCAAGGAGAGGGAUUCUUGGUGAGAGAGAUUUCUUCUAAAAAUGGGAGUCCACUCUAGGUUAGACCCUCUAAACUCAGCAUAGUCGGCGACUACUUAGUACUGGUUUCUAGCAAGGAGAAAUAAGGAGGGGCAAACCUGAUUGAGGGGUUGGUCUCCUAGCCAAGUGUCGAGGCAGAACUUGAUUUUCUGGCCAUUCCCUAGCCUAAAUAUAGUAUUAUAAGGAAGGCUUGUUUACUUGAGGUAAUGCAUUUCCACUUACCUGAGCUUUGGUGGGUUGGGGAUUUCGGCAGCCAACCAUCUUCCUCAAGGCCAUAUUUAGCAAGAAUCACUUAUUUCGAAAGGAGAGGGUGGGGGGGGGGAGUGAAAUUCCACCAGCAUUUACCUAGCAAAGCUAGGUUCAUGAGACGAAGGUUUAAACUAAUGUGGCCAGCGAUGUUCAGUACGAGACCUCACAGAAAUGUAUUGGGCAUCCUUAAUUCGUAUAGAAAAAGAUUUUGUGAAUUUAGAGCUAAAAAAAACAAGGAACUCCAUAUCCAAUGGGUUUGUCCAUCACCAAUUAAAUGACUUCUUCUCGACCUCACUAAAGGUACUCAAGACUCAUUUCGAAACAAAUCCAGAAGUUUCGGAUUUGAUUCCAGUGGAAAGGAGAGGGUAGGAGGAAGCGAAAUUCCACCACCAUUUUCUUAGCAAAGCUAGGUUCAUGAGGCAGAGUUUUUUAAAACCAAGACCUCCGUGAGAUUUGGGGGACAAACCUUGUCCCAAGCGACAAGGUGGAAUUUAUGACUCUCUGUGGUUCCAGACCACAGAAAGUUGCACAUCAUUUUCUGUAGACGAUUAAGGACAGAGAUUGGGAUUUGGAAGAGGGACAUGUAAUAAAUGGGAGUGCUGGCUAGGGUGGAUUUAAUGAGGGUGAUUCUACCCCCAAAGGAAAGGAAGCGUUCCAACGAGCAAAUUUCCAGUUGAAUUUCUUGAUUAAUUUGUCCCAGAGGUGUUUCAUGGGUUUGCCUAUGCCAAGAGGGAGGACAAGAUAGGAAGAUGGGAGCGAUUCAGUGGAGCAUCCUAGAUGUUGAACAAGGGAGUUUAAUUCAUCAUUGUCAACAAGGAUCCCUAACAUUUUUGUUUUGGCCAUAUUAACUUUCAUACGAGUAAGUAUUUUGAAGGUUUUAAGGAAAAGCUAGAGGUUAUCAAGGUGACGAGGGUUGGCUUGACUUAAAAUGACGGUGUCAUCUCUGUAAAGCAGAUGGGAGAGGGUGGGAUCUUCUUGGGACGUCCUGAAUCCUGAAAGCAAAUCUCUAUCGUAAAGUCUAGUGAUAGGUCUGGAGAAAAGUUCUCCAAUGAGGGUGAAAAGGAAGGGCGAGAGGGGGUCUCCCUGCCUUAAACCUCUGACAGAGGAGAAGACACCUACCAUUAAGGAGAAUGGAAAAGGAGGGAUUGGAUACACGUGCCUUUAUCCAGCUCCUCUAUUUAUGACCAAAUGUCAUACAAGAUUGAAUAUGAUCAGAUAUUCCAGUUGACUCGGUCGUAAGCCUUGUCCCAAUCCAAUUUUAUAAUAAGACCUUUCUGACCAGAAGUAGACCUAGAGUGGAUUGCUUCUUGAGCUGUAAGGGCCUCUCAUCUAAGAUCUGCUUAUUGGCGACAGAAGCUGAUGUGUUGGGGGAUUCUACUGAACUAAGCGUAGCUUGGAGCCGAGUGGACAAAACCUUGUCGAGGAUCUUAUAAGAAGAGUUGAGGAGACUGAUGGGUCUGAAAUCUCACUUUGAGAGCUCAUUCUAUUUUAGGGAUUCAGGCCAGGCAGGCACAAUUCAAAGCAGAGUUAAGACGAUCUCUAAGGAAAAACUCUUCAAAGAAGGCCAAGAGAUCCGGAGAUGUGUUCUAGGGUGCACAAAGACAAAUUUACCAUGACUAUCACCUAAGGAUUUGAAGACCUUCUGCGGUCAAAGGUGAAGCGGAACUCCUGAUAAAAUCCAGAAUUUUGGUUUUUUUAUAGCAUUUAAAUGCUCGUCCCAUUGCUUCAGGGAGAGCUUUCCUCGCUGAAAACUAAGAUUAGAAGAUUCGAGCUUGUUAGGGGGCAGGUUUAGGAGGAUAUUAGUUAUUUUCUGUUAUGAAUGGGCCUACAGGGAACUUAAACACUUGUUGGAGCCAAGUCGUUAUCCCCUUAACAUCAUUGUGGUGAGGGAAAAAGGAGCCUAUGAAUGAGUUUCUCAGUGAAGAGAGGCGUUCUUUGAUUUUCCGGAGAGCUGUUCAACCAUACAUGGGGGGCAGAAUUAGCGAGGGAGACUUGGGUAUUAAGAUUCAGAUUAAGGGGAGGGUGGUUAGGGUUCAGGUGGGAGGGAAGCUUUGAGGAGGCUUGGGGCUGGUUAAAAGAUGCUGCCGGGGGGGGAUUGUGGGGGUGGAGGAAGGUGUAUGGGGGGGGUCAGAGGUUGAGGGAUGGUAGAGGGGAGAUUUGUCUAGGGCUGCGAUGAAAUGCUAGUAAAGACUGUAGAGAGGCGGUGGUUGGACUAUGGCUUCCUUGCCUUUGUAAGCUGAUUUAGGUUUCUUCUGGUCUCUCCUUCUUUAUCGCCGAGCUUUACACCGGAUGCUCCAUGCAGCAACAACAUUUUGAGUUAUUCCGAGAAUGAGUUUCUCAGGGAAGAGAGGUGUUGGAUUUCUUAGAGAGUUGCAGGCAAAGCUAGCUCCUGCCUCCCAACACUAGGAAGAUAGAGAACAAAUAGAGAAUAUUGAGAGAAACGGAGAGUAACUACAUAAACUUAAUAAAAAAAAACUUUAUACUGUACUAUCCUUUCUUUAGCAAUACAAAAGUUAAUAUUAUAAAAAAAAAACUACAUAAACUUAAUCAAUGUAUUUUCCACGAAUCAAUAGAAGUAACAAAUCUUGAAACCAAAAAAAUAAGGGGAAAAAUAAAACUUUAUCUAAUGAAAUAUAGAAAUAAAAAACAAAGCCCUACGAAGAUUUAAGUAAAAAGGGGAAAAAACGAAAUGGGGAAAAAAUGGAGUUUCUAGGGUUUCUGAACUCGUAGCUGUGAUCUCUCCUUCUGAUCGGGCUUCUGAUCACUAAGCCUGCAACAGUAAAGGGGCCGUAGCCAUGAGGGGGGAGAAGAGAGACUCUAACGAGGGGUAGUUCUUAGGCGAUUCGUGUCUCAAGGGUGGCCAUGGCCGUUGGUGCUGAUGGUGUUGUCCCUUCUCCUGCAAUUCGCAGUUCGAUAAAAGAAACUAGUGUUUAGAUCUCCUGCUUUGAGCUAUUUGACACGAGAUCUCUGUUACCAAAACAGUUAUUCUUUUUUAAGAUUGGCAAAGUAAUCCAUACGUGCAGAAGAUCUAGAGGUUGACUCUUGCUCGGUCAACAGUCUGGUUUCCUCUAGGAUGUCCAAAUAAUGGAUAACUUGGAGAAGGGAAUUUUUGAUUAGGGUGUAGUUACCAGGGCGAGUCGAGCUCCAGUGUUUCAGUGCAACUUUAAGAAGUUGAAGUUUUGUUUGAAACUUGUACCCUGCCCUCCUUGUGGCAAGUGUGGAAAAAGAGUUCCACCAUACAGGGAUCAACUUCAGGAGGGAGGCCUCUUGCAGCCAUGCCAGUUCGAAUCUGGAUUGUUUCGGGCCUCUAUGCACUACGGCUGUGUCUAUGCACUACGGCUGUGUCUAAGAUAAUAGGGUAGUGGUCAGAGGUGGUUUUGGUUAGGGUGGAAUCAUGAGAUCUAGGAAAAGCUUGCUCCCAAUCGACAGUGAAAAGAAAUUUGUCUAGCUUUGAGCAGAUGGGUUGUUGUGCAUGGUUGAACCAUGUGAAUCUAUUCCCUUGGAUAGGGAUGUCUAUGAGCUCAUUGCGAGAUAUGAAGUCUGAGAAGGCCUGCAUACCUCUUGGAUUGGAAAUGGGAGUGUUUCUUUCUUGAGCCCAACGAAUAAUAUUGAAAUCUCCCCCCCAGGCACCAACAGGGGUGGGGAAGGGAGGCAAUUUGAUCAAGUUCUGAGCAGAAUUGGCCCCUGAGAGCGUCGUUGUUUGGACCGUACACUCCUGUGAAUUUCCAGUUGAAACCGUCUGAGGAUCUAAAGAGGAUGAUGGUAACAGAGAAAUGACCGAGGUGGCUGGAAACAAGGGUGUGGUCGGAGGGGUCCCAGAUGAUCCAUAUGUCCCCUGCUGCACCAACCGUAGGGAUGGAGACCCCUUGGCAGGGUCUACGACCCCAAACCUGCCUGAUUUGCUGGAGGGUAGGAUCCGACAUUUUUGUUUCCGAAAGGGCUAAAAUGGUAGGUAAGGACUUUGCAGUCUAUGACUGCUGAUUUUUUCCGAGGCUGACCCAAGCCUCUAAUGUUCCAAGGCAGGAGCUUCAUGGACAUAGGUUAUGGGGUGGGAACUCUCUUGGAGGAGGUCAAUCUGAGUGACCUUCUCGGGUGCUCAGUGGGACAGGUCCACUGAAGAGAGUGAUUACGGUCUGAAUGAGUGAAGGAAGAAAAAAGGCUAACAAUCUCACUAUGACCAUUAGGUCUCACCUUCAUGCGGCUGUGAGCGUCGGCCUGGAUAAAGCGGUGCGCUGGUCCCUCAGGUCCUUCGUAUUCGAAACCCAUAAUCUUAUAGAUGUUCUUCAUCUUAUUCAGGUCCCUCUUGUUGUCAUCAUCAUUUUGACCGCCUACAGUUGGUCCUUGAGAGGUGGACUUCACUUUGCUCUGAUCAUCGAGUCAACCGUAAGCUCGUCAGGGCUGGAAACUGCUAGAGACGAGUUAGUAGGUUUGACUACAGUGAGGUAGUCGGUGCCAGUAGGGUUUAGAGCAGAGGAGGGUGGAAAAGGGAUGCCUACAGAAACAACCAUGGAAACCACAGGUGAGGAGAAGGACGAGGAGGCGGUAUCCAGGGGGGCAGGGGAGAGACAAGGCUAAGUGUGGCAGGAGGCAGCGCAUGGUUCCUCAGAGAGAAACAGUGGGAGCGGGGGGGGAGGAAAAGAAAGGUAGGGGGGUACAAACAGAAAAAGAGGGGUUGUGCACCAGCGACAAGGAGGGGGAGAGGAGAGAGGAAGAGGCGAGGGGGGAGUUGAGGGUGGAAGAGCACCUCUGGGGGGAAUACAGCGACGUUGCGCAGCAGGAAGGUAAGGCAGAUACUAAUGCAGGAAAACUUUCGAGGGAUCUGUUGUCCAAAAAAGAGCAGGGGAAGGGGGACAGGCGAGAAACAUGUUUGCUUGCUGGACAUUGUUCAAGCGGGGCAGGAAAUGGAGAUAAGGAGAGACAGAGGCGGCGACAUCUUCAGGUGGAGGCAGAGAACGUUUAUUGGAGAGAUUGUGGCCACUCUAAAAGGGUAAAGGGCACUAUUCAUGACAACAUGGGGUAUGGGAAGGGGCGGUAAAGAGGGGGAGAAAGGGGAGGGGUGAAGAAGAUGAAGGAGGAAAAGGCAAGGGAAAAGGGGGUAAGACCAAGAGGGCUGUGGGGGAAAGAGGGGUAGGGGGUGAGAGAACAGAGGAGGGGAGGGGAGUAGAAAGAGUAUCAAAGCAGGAAAGAGAAGAGAGCAGGAAGGAGGGGGGGCAGGGGUGGGGCAAGGUGAGGGCUGGACAGAUGCGAGGUUAACGUCACAGGGAGAAAGGGGAAGAGGGCGGAGGGGUGGGGCAUGGGGAAUGGGGAGGGGAGGGGAGGGGAGGGUAGGGGAGGGGAGGGUAAGGGAUGGGGUGAAACAUCAAUAAGGGGGCAUGUGUCACAGGGAGAGGGGAUAGGGGGGAGGCUCGAGGUCGGCACAAAGCGCGAAGAGCCGUCAAGCGCCGGGGGAGGGGAGGGCUGGAGCCCGUCGAACAAGGUCGGCGGCGGCAGAGGAGGCUGACGCGCCGACAUGCUCAUAGACGCGUGGCAAGUGGGUGGCGGGGAUAGCAAUGAGAGGGAUGGCUCGUUUAAAGCAAUGUGGUCCAAGUGGCCUAUUGAGGGCGACUGGGGCAGAGGAGGAAGAGGAGGUGUCCCAUCAGCUGCCACUUGGUCAGAACUAGGGGGCAAUAGGGGGUAGGUGACCGUUGGACAAGUCAAGGAAGGUCCAGUGGAUGGAGUGGAAAAAAAAAGUUGGACAGGUCGACAAAAAGGAGCAAGCAGGUCAAGGUUCGGAUUAGAGAAGGAGGGGUUUACAGGUAGGGAGGGUGGGCUGUGGGGGGAGUGGAGGAGGGGCUGGGUCGAUCCACUAAACGUGAAGAGAGAGGAGGGGGGGAGGUGUUUACGAAAGCAGCUUUCUCGGGUCGGUGAGUAAAAGAGGGGUUGUGCAUCUAUCAACAAGUCACCGGGAACCUGGCCGUUAGUCUCAGCCCGAGGAAGACCAUUUAGUAGAGAACAUCAGUGUGGUGAGUUGGAGACCUCUGACGACCCGAUUUAGUACGGCUCUGGUUAGGGGGAGGCACCGAGAGUCUGCGUUUGUGGCUCUUUUUCCUGGUUACCACCAACUAGGAGGAAAAGUUUUCCAGCGAUGGAGCGGGAGCUGCGUGACGGAAAUAACAGGCGGAGGGCGGGGAAGCAUGUGACCGUUAGCUUCAAUCCAGAUAGAUUUUGGGAUUUGGGAGGGGUCGAGAACCUCAAAAAGGAGGCGGAUGGAGCCCAACAGAAGGGAUUCCAUGGAAAUCCAGUGGAUAGAGAUGAGGGAUCCGCAAGCAGUCGCGAGAUUGCGGAAGGUAUUAGGGGACCAAAAGUGAAGGGGGAUUCGAGACAGGGUGAGCCAUAUGCGCUGAUUCUUGUAAGCCCCUUCCGUGGGGGACCAUUUCCGGAGGGAACACGAAGCUCCUUUGAAGAAGAGGCCGGACGAGUCAAUGAGGGCACCCUGGGCACUUUCAGAUGAGGGGAAGGAGAACAAAAAUUCCCCUCCUUCCACUGCCAUUUGGCCCAAUCUUCAAUCCCUCACACCUGGGCUAAAAACUACCUAUGAGAGAGGUUGAGAGUCUUGAUUUAAGGGCUGCAGAAUCCACAGGGGCAGCAGUGAUGCAAAAAGGAAGGAUAGGGGAAGAUCCCAAAGGGUUCAAGGGCGAGAGGUCAGACGGGUGAGUGUAGGGCUAGCCCAAAAGAGGAGAGGGGGAAGGGGGGGGCUAUCUUGGCUGGAAAGGAUGAAGCAGUGAUAUUAGCGAAGGAAGGCUUGAGGCCAAGGGGCCGAGGAGUCUUCGAAGAAAGAAGGGAUGGGGGAUAGGAGGAAAGAUUCGCUUGGAGGUGGGUUUUGGGGUAUAGGUUGUAGAUUUCAAGCCAGUUCGAGAGGGGGCCACGGGAGCGAGAGCCUGCGGACGAGAAGUCGCAGGUCUAGCUUUCAUGGCGGAAGACUUGGGGGGAGCGCGGAGCCAGUUCGAGAGGGGGCCAUAGGAGCGAGGAGCCUGUAGACGAGAAGUCGCAGGUCUAGCUUUCAUGGCGGAAGACUUGGGGGAGCGAGGAGCCAAUUCGAGAGGGGGCCACCUUGAACACUGAGUUUUAUAUCGAUUCUUGUAUGUAGGUCCUAUUAUGGAACUUGAACUUUGCACAACGUGACGACACCAAAUGAAACGGAUGCCAAUUUGAUGCGGAAGCUCAUCAAAAUAUGUAUUUAGAGUUGUUUUCUGAGACGCAUCAAUAUUGGUUCAUAUUUUCAGUGAAUAUAGCUGCCAAAUUUUCUUGCCCCACAAUGUGGGCUUUACCAAGGUUCUGCAAGUGUUCCUUAUCUCAUGCCUAAAUAAGAAGUUUACUGUCCAAGGACUAAUAUCUAGUCAGCCAAUGGAUUUUAUUACAUAUUUAGAAUGUAAAUUGGGGGUUUUAAAUGUUACAAACAUUACAUGGUUAUCAAACAAAAACAUUAUCUGCAUGAGAUGUAGCUUUCAUGUUUAUUAGUUCACCAUGAGUUGAGAUUGUUGUGUUCUGAAAUCAGAGGAGUCAUAUUCUAGGAGAACGUGCUCUGCACCUUUUCUGUUGCACCUUUCAAAAUGAUAUCUUUUUUUUAGUGAAAUUGACACCCUUUCAAAAUGAUAUCUUGAGCUAAAUUUGAAGUGGUUUCGAUCCAAUAUAGAAGCAUGUCAUUGAAAUGGAAAUACUUGGCACAUUGCUAUGUGGUUGCUAUUAUGUCAAUUCCGUUAUUCGUAUGUGGUGUGGGUAUAAUUUAAUUAUUCUAUUUGGCUUGUUUAUAUAAAUUUGAUUACUGAUGUAUCUAAGAACCUUACUUCAAGCUCCAUGUGUUUUUCAUUAUCAGAAGCCCCCAAUUGAUUAUGUGUCUUGCUUGAAAUCUCCUCAUAUUGCUGUCAUGUUUAACUAUGUAUCCCAAGAAAUUUAUAGGUGGGGUUUGAAAAUUCAUAAUAAUAUUGAUAUUAUUAGUAGUAUUAUCAUUAUCAUUAUUAUUAUCAGCACCACCACCACCACCACCACCAUCAUCAUCAUCACUUAUCUCCCAACCUCUUAUGUUCGAACCAGUUUGUUCCAACAAUCGAGCAUGCUAUUUGAGUGAUCAUUGAAAAUCUGCAAGCUUGGUAACAAAUAUCGCCAGUGUCAUGAUUCAACUGGGAUUUUUUCGCACUAACAUGUACAGCCAAUAAAAUUGCUGGUACAGUCCCAAUAAUUGUCACAGUAGAAAACCAUGAUAAUUAUAUUGGGAAUGCAAUUUAAGGGAGGAAAAAGUUUAUAUAGAGCUUAGGCUCUAAACAAUCAAAUUUGAGCCUACCUCAAAAAUUUCAGUAGAAGAGGUUGUUUUGAUGCGCAAAUAUCCUCAAAUUGAUCAUCUUGAUAUCAAGAUGCCUAGACAUGAGAAAAAAAUGGAUUUCAAGUUUUGGAAAUAGUGCAUUUUGUAACGCAUUUUUGGACCGUCAAUUUUUAAGGUUUUCAAUUUUUCAUAGAUCUGCUCUAACUACACUAUUUUUGAAGCUUUAAUUUUUAUAAUUAAGAUGAAAAUAUAUUUUAAGGCUAUCACAACGAUUUCCAAUAUUGAAACCACUUUUUCGACGCUAUUUGAAGGUGGGCUUUACUUUGAUUGUUUAGAGCCUUGGCUCUAUACAAACCACACCUUUUAAGGAAUGAUUUUGACUUUUGAAAUCAAAUAAAUUAGCAAUAAUUUUUUUUACAAGUAUAGAUAACUUACAUUACAUGUAUUAGUUGGGAAUUGGGACAAGGUUCGGAUGUUGAUGAUGAUGACGAUAGAUAACUUACAUUAACUGUAAUAUGUCCUUCCAAUUUUGAUAAGUGUUGGUAACUUACUUAAAAUGAUAUACAUAUCAGAAGAAACCUCUCAGACGAGGAAACUAGCCUCUUCUUGUCACUCUCGGUAGUUUUACAUUCGACCUUCAUCUCUUCUGAAGGGAGGGAUUCUAUGAUUUGGAUGCUAACCCCCUCCGGUACAUUCACGGUGGUCUCGUUUUACAAAAGACUCAUCCAACCCCCACUUACCCCCUAAAUCCUACCUCUGUCCUUUCCAAGGUCUGGUCCACAAUUGCCCCCCCCCAAAGUUCAGACUUUCAACUGGAUUGCUUGUUCUCAAUGGGCACUGACAGUGGACCAGCUUCAGAAGAGAGGGAUUCCAAUCCCCAAUAGAUGCGCCAUGUAUUUCAAGGAGGAGGAAUCGAAUUCACACCUCUUCAUCCACUGCGAGGUAGCCCACAACCUUUGGAGUUAACUGUUGCAGCUGUUUUGUCUCCAAUGGGUUACUCCACCGACAGUCAAGGCCCUAAUUACCAUGGAACAGGCGUCACUUUGGCCGAAGGCCAGAAGAACCUUAUGGAAGGCAGCCAUUGCUGCAUCCAUAUGGGUGAUAUGGGUAGAAAGGAAUACCAGAAUAUUUCAAGGACACAAGCUCCAGGUACCGGCCCUACUCCACAAGGUUACUACUCUAGUAACAUUCUGGCCAUCCAACCGCAAUGUGUUCUUAGGCCUUUCAGCGAAUACUUUUCUCAGCCAAUGGGAAAACAUACUCUACCACUCCACGAAAGGUGCAAAGACGAAGCAAUUGGCUGCCACCUCCAGAGGGCACAAUCAAGCUCAACUUCGAUGGCUGUUCCCUGGGGAAUCCCGGCCCCUGCAGGAGCUGGUGGUGUCUUUAGAGACCACCAUCACAACAUCCUCUUUACCUACUUUGAACAUCUAGACCAUAGAUAUUCUUAAUAUGUUGAAGCUAUUAUCCUGCUAAUAUGACUCAAAAGCUUCAAUGAUUCCUGGGGCUCAAACCCGUUAGUGGAAGGAGACGCACAUAACAUUUUAGCCUAGGAACUGGGACGACACCACCCCCAUGGUACCUAGCUUCGAUCUUUGAUGAAAUUGCCUAUAUCUGCAGGGAUACGCACGUCUCAUGGAAGCAUAUAUGGAGGACAUGCAACGAGUUUGCCGAUCUUCUAGCGAAAGACGGGGUUAGGAGCCAAGAAGAAGAUAGCGCAUGGUCCUUCUCCUUUUUUGAUCAGGACCACAUAAGACACACUACGUAGAACAUCUCAUUGUAUUCGAGCAACUUUAUAAUCCCCUUAUUCUUUUUGUGAACUUAUUGUAAAUCCUUUGUAAUUGGGCAGGUUUAUAGGCCCACAUUUUGUAUAGGGUCUACUGACCAUUUUUGUACCGAGAGACUCCUCUAGAGGGCUUUCUCGGACUAUCACAAUCUGUACCCCAACUUCUCUAAUGCAAUUCAAAUGUUAACAUUUCAAAAAAAAAAAAACUGAUAAAUUAAAAUUGAUAUUGAUUUAAAAUAUUAAAAUGCGGUAGAGUUGCUCUGAUUUUUCAAUGUAACCUUUAAAAAGAAGGCUUUCGGAUUCUGUUCUCUCCUCCCCCCUCCCCCCUCCCCCCCCCCUUUUUUUUUCCCUAGAAGGGCUCAUUGUACUCUGAGCUAUCCAAGUGCGGAUAGCCACUCUCCCCCUUUUCUCUCUCUUUUUCGUUAUCAUUGUAUUCUAUACUUGUUUACUCAUAUACAUAACAUUUAACAUUCUCAAAAAAAAAUGCGGUAGAGUUGCCAUAGAAAGAAGCCUUCUGAUAAUGUCGGGAUAAAACUCCCCACCUAUGCAAGUAGUGGUAUUUUUGUAAGCAGUCAGUCAUAUUUGUUGGUUUUUAAAAGUUUUUGUUCACAAAGACUCAGUUCUGAAUGGGGAUACUUUGGAUUUGCAGAAGUAAUUUAGUUAGCAGAUGCAUUAUGACCAAGAUUUUGAAGAGAAGAAACAAUAUUAAUUAUGUGUAGAAAUAAGCAGUAUGGCAGUAGAGAUGUGUGUAUACAUAAAAACUCAUUUAGGGUGGAUUUCUAUGGGAUGGUUGUGAGCAAUCAGUGACAUGCAAGCCUUAGUGUUUGGAAACUUUGCAGUCAAUAGUUUUGAGAAAUGUGGCAUGAGUUGCUUAGUUUUGUAUCAGGGUGUGCAUGCUUCAUUUUAAAAUCUUUAUCAUGUCUAUAGCAUUCCAAUAACUUAUAGAAGUACCUUUACUGUAAUGAAAACUGGUGGUUGAUUGGAUUCCUAAAAAUCCUUUAGGAAGCAACAUUAAUACAUCUAAAUUUCAAGUAGUUACAAUGUGAACCAGGCAUUUGUUGAUCAGCAUGUGAAGAAUACCACCUAUGAUUCUUAUGGGAGUCUGAUUUGACGAGCAUAAUACUUUCACCUUCAUAUAUAAAAUCAAAUGUUAUGGAUGAGUGAGGUUUCAAAGACAAUAGGUCUAUAUUAGGGGCAGCAUAGAGGCUAUACCCUUUUGUCUUAGUUAUGGAUGACAUAAUGACUUAACUAGACACCUACAAGAUGAGGAACCGUGGUGCAUGUUAUUCUUGAAUGACAUAGUUUUGAUCGAUGAAACUCGAAACAACGUCAACACAACGUUAGAACUUUGGAGAGGUGCUCUAGAAUCUAAAGGUUUUAAAAUUAGCCGAACGAAGACAGAGUAUAUGUAAUGCAAGUUUAGUAAUAAUAGGAGUAGAGACGAGGAAGUAUUUAACAUUGACGACCAAGAAAUAUAAAAAAGGAAUGCACUUUCGAUAUAUUGGGUCGAGAGAUUGAGGAAGAUGCCACACAUAGAAUUAGAGUUGGGUACACGAAGUAGAGAUGUGCAACCGACCACAUACCAAUGAAGUUGAAAGGCAAGUACAAUAGAACAACUGUGAGACUACCUUUAUUUUAUGGGGCAGAAUAUUGGGCUGUCAAGAAACAACAUAUCCAUAGAAUCAGUGUAGCUAAGAUGAGGAGGUUGAAAUGGAUGAGUAUAAAGACUAGAAGUGAUAGAAUUCGAAAUGAGUACAUUCGGAAGAAUUUAGAUGUGGCAUCGAUAGGUGAUAAGCUGAGAGAAAAUGGGCUGGCCAUGUGUGGCUUAGACCCAGUACACUUGUGAGAAGGUGCGAGUUAGUUCAAGUGGGGCUCAGAAAGGGCAAAGGUAGGCCCAAAAGGACAUGGUUGAAAGUAAUGAGAAAAGAUGUUGGGACUUAUGGCCUUAGCGAGGGUAUAGCUCUUAAGAGAGCAGGAUGGAGGACCAGGUUUCAUGUAGCCGACCACAAUUAGUUGGGAAAAGGCCUUGAUGAUGAUGAAAUAAAUCAAAGGUUAAUCAUGCUUGAUGCUUCUAAUUAUGUUGAGAAAAGCUGGGCAUGUUAAACCCCAUAUGGAGUGGCACUCUAGGACCAAGUCUUGUUAGGGCUUGUCCUUGACAUGAUGCAUAAUGCUUGUCACUGGACAUGAUUGUCUCAUACUGCUGUUUUAAUGAAUAACGUGGAAUGACAUUUACUAUCAUCCAGGGAAAUUCUUGAAUAUGUCAAUCAAACUGUUCACAUUAUUUUGCAUGAAGAGAAUUAUUGUAUUUCUGCUUCCCAAAUCCCCUCCUUUCUCAAUUAAUAUUUGAUAAUAAUUAGCCAAUAUGCAAAAUUAUUUUUGAUCUUUUACCGUUGUGUUUCAUGGUUUUGUUUUUUUUGUCAGCAAUGUGACUCUGGUUCUUGAAACCUUUGAAUGAUUGCAAGCACUCAGGGUUACAUCUUCUUCGACCAUGCCUGCUACUUCUUUUUUUCUCUCUCUUUAGAUUCAGUUUGUUGUAGUUUCCAAUGUUGUUUUGUUAAUAAUUCUUUUACUUGGCUUUUUUAUUAGCUAGCUAUUCAUUGUAGUUUUUGGCCAAUUAUAAAUAUUGAUCUAUUGCUUCUUUCCCUCUUUCGGUUACUUCAGCUAUGGAUUUAUAUGCUUAUUUUGAUUUCAAUUUCUUAGACAUUUUUUUCUAAUUAUUGAAACUGCAUUUGAUCCAUGUAAUAAUAGGUAAUAACAGUAGUUAAAAAGACGAUGCAUAUUACGAAAAGAGAGAAGGAUCUCAGAAUUAUGGUGGCUUGAAAAUCAAAUACUCAAUUUAGCUAGGGUCCCAUUUAGAUGGACCAUUUAUUAACAAAAUGUCCAAAUUGGUCCCUUUAGGAGCAUAGAAAGAAACAGCUUGGUACACUGCUAUUUACGGGUGUGGGCCCUUUCUAUCCCCCUCUUGUUACGAAAAUACCAUGAAAUGCCCAAUUGUUUUGAUUGGAGUUCUCAGAUCAUCCAAGUGGGGCCUACAGGUUGACUUCCCUUUCAAGAGUUAUAUGAAUAAUAGGGAUUGCUUUAAGGCAUUGAUCACUUCUUAUAGGUUGAUAUGGAAACAUUAUUGGCUUGUUGGUGAACCUAGUGUUUCAUGACAGUACCAAGCAUGUAGAGAUUAACUUAAAUUUAUUCAUUAUUUGGUUGUGCUCAUAGUAUGGUGAUCAACUGAAGAUUUAUUUGUUAGUUGAUGGCUGGACUUGACAUCUUUAUCAAAGAAACUGUCUUCUUUUAUAUAUUUUUUUUUCUUUUGAAAUGUGGUGUCUUCUUAUUAUUUUUACUUGAUAUUUGAUAAAGAAGCAGGAUAUAAACUUCCUGCCUAACUUAACUUCAGGAUAGUAUUUGGGUUGUAUUAUUUUUGUUUAGUCAUCUUCAGUAUGUGUGGUGGUAACUUACAUGCAUGAAAAUUGGGGGUCUCUAUGAAAUUUUCCAAAAUAUUAUGUAGGCGUGUUUUUCUUUCUGUAAGUAACUGUGUGGCGGGCGCUGAGCCACUAAUGAAGAACUCAUCUCAUCAAAUUACCAUUUUUGCCUUUUCUCUCUCUAGCUGUGGAUACUAACCUAGAGAUAUACAGCAGGAAACAACAGAAGAUGAAGCCCCAGUGGAAGCUGAAACUGUUAAACCCGAUUCCAUUGAUGGGGAGGAAUUGCCUGUAUCAGCUGUAAAGGCAUCACUCGAGUCCUAUAGAGAAGCUCUAGCAAAUAAUGAUGAGUCCACAUUGGUGGAGAUAGAAAAAUUUCUUCAAUCCAUUGAAGUUGAGAAGAAUUCUCUCUCAAACAAAGUGGCAGCUUUGUCUGAAGAACUAUCUUCUGAGAGAGACCGGGUUCUUAGGAUCAGUGCAGACUUUGAUAAUUUCAGGAAGCGAACAGAGAGAGAACGUCUCUCUCUAGUUUCCAAUGCCCAAGGGGAAGUGAUAGAGAACCUUUUGCCUAUAUUGGAUAACUUUGAGAGAGCCAAGGCUCAAAUUAAGGUGGAGACGGAGGGAGAAGAGAAGAUAAAUAAUAGCUAUCAAAGCAUAUAUAAACAGUUCGUUGAGAUUAUGGUGUCGUUGGGUGUUGUUGGCGUGGAUACAGUUGGAAAUCCGUUUGACCCAUUGGUAAGUUCUCCUUUCCUAGUCAUUUUAGUGUUUUCUGUCUCUUCUUUUUUUAUAAUCUGUUUCAGGGUAAUACUACCUGAGCGAGUUUAAGCCCGACACUGAUCUGCUCUCUAAGAUGUUUGCUCCAUUUUUUUCGUAAUGGUAUGUUAUUGGGUUUGUUUCACUUGAACACCCCCAAAUUAUUUUUGAAUCGUAGUUGCUUCUCUAAAGUUAGCUCCCCGAAAUGCUAAAGCAUCAAUUUGGGCUUUAGUUGAUGUAUUUUCUUAGUUAAGUUGAAUUUCUGAGUUUUUUACUUUUAUAUAUAUGUAUAUAGAGUAAUGAUCCUAUGAGACCCGCCUACACCCAUAUGUGUAAGACUCCAAUGGAUCACCAUUAAAUUUGGCACAGAUCUCUAUAAAAGUUAUCACAUAAGUGUGAGACAACUUUUUUAGAGAUCUGUACCAAAUUUAAUGGUGAUCCUUUGAAGUCCUAUACACAUGGGUGUAGGAGGGUCUCAUAGGAUCAUUACUCAUGUCUAUAUAUAUAUAUAUAUAUGGAAAAGGCUUUUCAACACCUAUAGGCGAAAAUGAAUAGUGAUUUCGCCUAUCUUCAUUACCGUCCAUAUUUCAUCGCGCGGUCACGAUUGUCCGAUAGUGUUUUAUUUUUCAUUUUUUUUCUACGGAUCGGAAUGACCUGAAAUUUGGAGGGUAUGUAUAUCUUACUGAGGCGCAUCUAAUAAAAUAUAAAAAAAAUUAUCCGCAAAAACUAAAUUGACCAAAUUACCCCCGAAACUUUUCAGGGGUAUUUUGGUCAAUUUAUUUAAUGUAAAAUAUAUUUUUUUUAUAAUUUUCGAAGAUUUCCCUAUUUUUGAUGAACACACUCCAAAUUUCAUGUCAUUCCGAUCAGUAAAAAAAAAAUUGAAAAAUGAAACACUACUAGACAAUCGUGACUGCGCGAUGAAUUUUGGACAGUAAUGGGAGUAGGUGAAAUCACUGUUCAUUUUCGCCUAUAGGUUUUGCAUAGUGUUUUCUUUUAUAUAUAUAUAUAUAUAUAUAUAUAUAUUUAUUAUUAGAAGGGAAUUGGUGUUUGUCAAGUGUUGUGUCAACAUUAUCUUGAAUGGGGACAUUGGUGACAUGAACCACCUAACAAAUAUGAUUUUAUAAAAAGAAAAGUGAACAUUGAAUCCCAUGAUGAUAGACCAUUGCUCAAUAAUCAAGUCCCUUUGUAUAAGUUCCCAUCAGAUCUCUAGCAAUCAGUGUUUCAAAAGUUGUCCGUCCUACUUGGGAUUCAUGUGAGUCGAACCUGAUUGGAGCUUACCUGCAGAAGUCCCCUGGUUUCCUUAGAAUCUGUUUCUUUUUGUUAAAUACAGCCCUGUGACUCAAACUUUCCUAAGUUGGAUCAGAGGAUGGGGAUUUGACCUUGUGAAUUCCAAUUUUUGAAAGAUUGCUAACAAUUGCUCUUGACUGUUAGGAAUUGAAGACCCUAGAUUGGGAACUUUGAGAGAGAGAGAGAGAGAGAGAAACAAGACAAAACCACUUCAUAGGAAUUGCUUCCUCACCCUUUACAUUGAAAAGAAUAAAUAUAUAUGUUACAAAAGAAUAAAUGACUAUGUUACCCUUGGGUGAAUAACCCAGACAAUUAUAGAAAGGACAGGACACUACUAUCUCUUAACGUUGACAUACUCGAGUAUAAAUUUUUGUUAGUGUUGAAAGUUAUUGCUGAUUUUCAGGAUCAGAAGUUUCAGGAUAUUUUCAUCGUUUGUUGGGUGGUUAAUUUUUGGGGAGGCCAAUUUUAUCCGUCUUCAAUUCAAAGUGUUUUGGGUGUUUGCAAGUUAAAUAAUCAUUCUCUCCUCUUUUUCCUUGCUUGUAAAAGCAUUUUCUGGGUAUCCAGUCAUUUCUCAAAAUGGAUUAAUUGUGGGUAUUCUAUGUAAUUUCAUCAGAGGGGUCCGACCCUCCUGCUGCCUCUCUCUCGCUCUCUCUCUCUAAUAGAUACGUGCACACAAACUCAUAGACACACACUCUCUCUCACACGUGCAUGUGCACACACAUACACCCCACCCUCUCUCUCUCACACAGAUCUCUCUCUCUCUGUCUCACACACACGGCUCUCACUCACACACCUCUCUCUCUCCCCGCCCCCUCUUUCUCUCUCACACACAUGUGCGCACACACCCCUCUCACAUGUGCACACAUCUCUCUCACACAGACAUUCUGUCUCUCUCUCUGUCUCACACACACUCAUGCACCCCCUCUUUCUCACAUAUACAGAGACAUAUCUCUUUUUCUCUCACACACACCUAUCUCUCAUGCAUGUGUAUGCACACACCUCUCUCUCUCUCAUGCAUGCGCUGUCUGUGAGAUUACCAUAAUUUCAUUCUGAAAAAAAUUUAAUCUUUUGCUGAUAAAAGCUACAUGAGGCUAUCAUGCGUGAGGACUCAACAGAGUUCGAAGAAAGCAUCAUACUCCAAGAAUUUCGGAAAGGGUUCAAGCUAGGAGACAGGCUUCUGAGGCCAUCCAUGGUCAAGGUAUCAGCAGGCCCAGGCCCUGCAAAACCAACAGACGAGGUGGACUCUUCAGCUUCAAAAGAACCAGCAGAGGAGGUUGACUCUUCUGCUUCAAAAGAAGAGACUGAAGAAGAACCAGCAAGCGAAUAGAGCCAUAGCGAAGAACCUACAUGGAGCUCUUGAUUUCUCUCUCUUCACUCUCAAUUUUGUAAAACCAGUGGGGGCAUGUAAUUCAGGGGAAAUGUUGGUCUAAGUGUGGAGUUGUUAGGGCCUUGUAACUGUGACAAACUGAAUUUACUCCCGCUGUUUUUUUCUCUUUUCUAUUUUAAGGUUUUUCUCUUUCUUAUUGUUGAGGUUUUGUAUGGCUUACUAACUCUUGAUUUUCCUUGUUUCUGCUUAGCCUUGUGUAAUAUUUGUGGGUUGCUUUUGUGGCAUAGAUUCAUACUGUGUAGGCUUUUGAAACCAGGUCUUCUCCCUCAACAUCUCACCAAGAAAAAAAAAAAAGGUAAAAAAAGAAUAGGAAAGGUACAAAGAGAUUGUUUACUUUUAGCAUGAAACGAGUGAUUGUGAGUUUGUAAUUGAUUAGGCUUGAAAGUUUAAAAAAGAUUCCUCGAAUUUCAUAAUACAUCUCGAACUAUGAUUAGACUUAAAAUUAAAAAAAAAAAAUUAAAUUUCGUAAUAUGACAUUUAAUAGUUAGUAAUAGAUGUGAAUGAUCACAUGGUAUAUAAUCUCGAAACCAAAGGGUUUGAAGUUACUUCAAAAGAGCGAGGAUAAUAUUUAGACCGAUGCUAAGCUCGAAUAUGUAGAAAUGCGGGCCUCUUGAUAGAUCUAUUUUUGAGAUGGAUUUUAAGUCUUAAUUUUUAAGAGCAUGUAAUCUCUAACAUGGAGAUCAAGAAUAUGAAUAAAUAAAUAAAAAUUAAAAACAAAAAAUAAUGGUUCUUGUCAUUUGGACCCUUAGUUUUUAUUGUUUUCAGAUGGAAGAUGGUUGCUUUACACUUUUUGGAUUGCAUAUAUAAAAAUGCGGUUUGACCUACAUGAAACAAUUUUACUAAUAUUUAUGGGCAUUUAUUAUUUUUACCUUUUAAAAUAAAUUUUUUCAGUAAUCCAUUUUUAUUAGUGGGGAUGGAAUAAAUAAAAUAUUCUUGAAAGGUUUGGUUUCUAUUGACUUUAAACAAUUAAAGUAAGGUGUGCUUCUAAAUUUUGUGUAAAUAAGUCGGACCUAGAUUGAGUUGGGUUCAAGUCAAUUGGACCCAGAUAGGUCUGGUUGGGUUUCGACAUAAAAAUAAAAAUAAAUUGUAACAUAUAUGUUACAUUUUCAAUAAUAUGUCAUAAUCAUAAUCAUUUGGGUUGUAAAAUAACUAUAUAUUUUAAAACUUAUUAUAUAUUGGGAAAAUUAUAAAAAACUUUCAAGACUACACUUUAGAUGAAAAAUGCCCUUCCUGUACAAAAAUAUCAAUUUGGCCGGAUUUGACGUUGACUUUCGAACCCCAGUUGAUUUUCGAACCCCAGUAGUACAUUGCCAGAGUCCACCAUCACAUUACCGAACCAAAACUGAGUACUACCUGGACAGAAGCUGAGUAUUACCUAGACCGCCCUUUGCAACUGCCAGUUACUCCAAAAGUUCUACUGCCGGAUUGCCUUUGCAAUUGCCGAAGCCCUGUAACUCUAGAACAUUUACUGUCGGACUGCACUUACACAGUUCCAGAGCCCUAUGAUUCCAGAGUGUUCCAUUGCCGGACCACAUUUACACGGGGCCAUGUUACUCCAGAGCAUUCCACUGCUGAACCGCACUUACACAGUGCUAGAGCGCUUGAUCUACUGUCGGACCGCAUUUGCACAGUGCUGGAGCCCUAUUUUGGUGGGAUUGAGGGGAGAGGUUUGCAUAAGGUAAAAGUAAAAGAGGGUAGUUUAGGUAUUUUUUAUUUAUUUAUUGGUUAGAAAGUGUAUUUUGGAGAAAAAAGUAAGAAAAAAAAAUAGGUUGAAAGUAAGUCGUACAGAAAGUAUAGUUUUGAGAUUUUUUUUAUAAUUUUCCGUAAGGACAUUUAUAUGUCCUUUAUAAGCCUCGAGUUACCCAACCUAGGUUGGGUCGAGUUGACAUAGAUCCAACUCAUGGGGUCCAUUGUCCAAGUCAAGACACAAACCCGGUCAGUCAACCCUCCCAUCCCUAUAUUGGCUUAAAAUCUAGUUUCGCCCCUAAUUGUCGUGGAUAAAACAAAUUUAUAAGUAUUUAAAAUUUUUGAAAAUAGAUGGUUUAGAUAAUGUAGUUUAAUAUACACUACUUAUGGGAUCUGAUAGCCUUUUAUUUAUUUUCUUACAUCUUGGAGUCGCGAUAAUCAACUGUAGAGUCUUUUUUAUGCCUAGAAUAAUCUUUAGGUAGAAAUUUUUUAAGGUGUACUUUAAGUAUUGACUGCAUGGUAAGAUUGAUACUUUACAUAAAGAUUACUUGUUGACUGCAUGGUAAGAUUGAUACUUUAUAUAAGGAAAAAAAUUAUAUAGAGCCGAGGCUCUAAACAAUCAAAUUAGAGCCCACCUAAAAAAAUUUACUAGAAGAGGUUGUUUUGACACCCAAAUAUCCUGAAAUUGAUCAUCUACACAUCAAGAUGCAUGGACAUGAGAGAAAAAUAGAUUUCAAGUUUUGGAAAUAGUGCAUCUUGUAACACAUUUUUGGACAGUCAAUUAUCAAGCUUUCAUAUUUCUGCUUGAUCUACACUAUUUUUUAAGCUUUAAAUUAUAUCAUUAAAGAUGAAAAGAUAUUUUAAGGCUAUCACAAAGAUGUCCAGUAUUGGAACCAUAUUUCUCGUAACUAUUUGAAGGUGCGCUUUACUUUAAUGGUUUAGAGCCUUAGCUGUAUACAAAAUGCACCCCUUACAAACGUUUAUAUAAGUAUGCGACCUUAUAAUGUAGAACUACGGAUGCCCAUAAAAAAUCCAUCGGAAAAUGUAGUUUUAAUGUUGAAAAACCCAUUGAUUGAUCAUCUCGACAUCGAGAUCUAUGACUAUGAAAAUAAAAAGAUUUUAAGACUCAGUAAUUGUGUAUUUACUAACAUAUUAUNNNNNNNNNNNNNNNNNNNNNNNNNNNNNNNNNNNNNNNNNNNNNNNNNNNNNNNNNNNNNNNNNNNNNNNNNNNNNNNNNNNNNNNNNNNNNNNNNNNNNNNNNNNNNNNNNNNNNNNNNNNNNNNNNNNNNNNNNNNNNNNNNNNNNNNNNNNNNNNNNNNNNNNNNNNNNNNNNNNNNNNNNNNNNNNNNNNNNNNNNNNNNNNNNNNNNNNNNNNNNNNNNNNNNNNNNNNNNNNNNNNNNNNNNNNNNNNNNNNNNNNNNNNNNNNNNNNNNNNNNNNNNNNNNNNNNNNNNNNNNNNNNNNNNNNNNNNNNNNNNNNNNNNNNNNNNNNNNNNNNNNNNNNNNNNNNNNNNNNNNNNNNNNNNNNNNNNNNNNNNNNNNNNNNNNNNNNNNNNNNNNNNNNNNNNNNNNNNNNNNNNNNNNNNNNNNNNNNNNNNNNNNNNNNNNNNNNNNNNNNNNNNNNNNNNNNNNNNNNNNNNNNNUAGAUUUUGAGAUAAUCCUAAAAACAUUUUACAUCAAAAUUAUGUACCAUGAUAAAAUUUGAAGGUGCACCUUACCUCUACACCUACGGAUGUGUCCAUAUGCAAACUGCACCCUUAUAUAAAUUCGUUCGUUCUUGAAAUACAUAAUAAUCGAUAAUAAUAUUAAUAUUUCGUUAGUAUUUGAAAAACCAAGUUUAUUGUUUCAUGGUCAGUCAUGCCCCGUUUCUCUUCUAACAUUUGACUAAUUUUAUCUUUUAUUAAAAUUAUAAGAAAUUUAUGCUCAUUUGUUAUUACAAUUGUCCCUCAUAAUUUUCUAUUUUACAAUAUACCCCUUUUUUAUUCCGCACGCUUUCAAAAGGAAAGCUUUAUAUAGAGCCGAGUCUCUAAACAAUCAAAUUAGAGCCUACCUCAAAAAUUUCACUAGAAGAGAUUGUUUUGCUGCUCAAAUAUCCUCAAAUUUAUCAUCUCGAUAUCAAGAUACAUGGACAUGUGAAUAAAAUGGAUUUCAAGUUUUGGAAAUAGUGUAUUUUGUAAUGCAUUUUUUUACCGUCAAUUUUCAAGAUUUUAAAGUUUUCAUAGAUUUAUCGAUCUACACUAUUUUCGAAGCUUUAAACUUUAUAUAAAUAUAAAAAUAUAUUUUAAGGUCGUCACAAAGAUUUCCAGUGUUGAAACCACAUUUCUCGACACUAUUUGAAUGUAGGCUCUAAUUUGAUUGUUUAGAGCCUAGGCUCCAUCCAAACUACACCCUUUUCAAAAUGCCCCACUUUCUAGAUAAUUUACCCACCUUAAUUUUUUUUAACAUAUUUUUCUCAAAAAUCAAGUUUUAUAGUAAAUACCCCCAAUACAAAAAGUUAAUUUUUUUUUGAACAAAAAUACCAUCAUUUUUUAACAUUAAUAAAAGGAAACACUGGAUCGCGGUUGUAUAUUGCCGGACCCAUCCAUUAUGCCGAACCGGAACUGUACACUGCUGGGCCGCCUAUUCCAUACACAAUUUUUAAUUUUGCCAGAACGUAACUCACAAAUGCCAGACUGCUCAUUAAUCCAGAAACAAAUGACGGACCACCUCUUUCAAACUCCAGAUCGCCAUGAUGAAGUGUUGCACUGCAUAAUAAAAUAUCGAACCAUUCAAAAUCAAUGACUUAAGCACCAGACUACCUGUUCUAAAUGGCGGACCGCUGAAGUACCAUAGCAUCAUAGUCAAUGUGUGAGAUGAAGGAAGGGUAUUUUAAUAUCGUGUUUGAUGUAAGAGAGGGGUACUUAAAUUUUUUUUAGUCGGAGAUAUAUGCAAGGUAACGUAACGUGGCUUUGGAAAAAAAAAAGUUGCGAAAUGUUAGGUUAGGGAUAAAUUGUUUACAAAUUUCAUUUUUUUCCUUAUUUUUGUUUGCUAUAUCUUAACCUCGAAGAAUCCAAAUAAAAUCCACCUCUCUCUCUCUCUAAGAUCUACCCCUCUCUCUCUCCGUGUGUAAAAAUACCCCAUGCCGCUCUGUUCAUUUAACGGCGACUAAAUGGAGGGAAAAUGGUCGGAAUUCCUUUUUCCGGCGUCUCUUACAACCAGCGGUCGCCCCGUUCUACAACCAGGCGAGGUCGAAUGCUCAACCCUAGACUCAGUCGAUCUCGAGCUCGUUCAAAGCCCUGACCCUAACACUAAUUUCCCGACUCUGAGAUCGGGCUUACUCAUCCUCACCACUUUCAGGUUCCUGUUUAUUGACCAGAACUCUAGGGUUUCUUUCUCGAUCCCUCUUUCUGUAGUUUCUCAUGUUUCUGGCCCUAAGAAGUCUAUCAAGAGCAUGUUCCAUAGCCCAAGAAUCAGGGUCAGGGUUUCGGUCUCAAACGAUGGCAGGGUUGCAGAGAAAGGCCAGAGAUUUGCAGAGAUUGUUUGCGUUCUGAGGGGGAAGAGUGAUCCUGAUUCGUUUGUUGGGAGGUUAUGGGAGGUUUUGAGGUCGAGGCCAUGGGAGAGCUUGGUGGGGUCAGAAGAUAAGAGAGAGAGUGAGGUGGGGAGAGUUGCAGAGAGCUCGAGUGUUUGGAGGCCUGCAAUGGCUGGGGUCUCAGGAAUUCUUAGAAAGGAGCAGGAGCAGUGGGAGAGCACUGAUAAGAGCUUGCAGGAUGCUUUCCAGGAUUUGAACGCUUUAAUGGUAUGCGGCUCACUCUGUCUCUAAAAAUCAAGUUUUAAUGUGGUGAUUACUCUCUCACUUCGGAUUAAGAUUGAAGGUUCAUCAAAAAGCAAAUUUGUUAUAUAUUUGCGGUAAUUGAAUAAAAAUCUCAAAUUUGAACUUGUUUAUAUUGAUCUGUGAUUCAAAUGAACUGAAGGUCCACUAAAAUGGUGGUAUUCUGUGUUUCAUCACGAGCACACUUGGGACCAUUUUUGAAAUUCAGCCUGAAUCUGCCUCAAUCGUGAAAUGACUCCCUUUGGGUGAGUGCAAGUCCAAUUCCAGCUGGAAUUCAAUGAAAUUGGGAAGAAAUUCUUAGGAACUUCACUCAUAGAUUGGCAAAAUAAUAUGGCAAAACCUGGUGAAAUUUUGGUCUGAAAUUUGGCUAGAAUUGGUUGUGUUAUGGCCAAUUGGCGAUUAAUUAUGUUUAGAAUAGGUUGUGUUAUGGCCAAUUGGCUAUUAAUUAUGUUUCAGCAUUGUGAGACUCGGCGGAGUUACUAGAACUAGCCCCUCGGUGAGCAGAGUUACCCUGAGUUCUUAUGUACAACUCUGAGCAUAUUAAAAAUAGAAAAAAAUCCUAAAAGAUAUACUAAAGUAUGGAAUCUAUGUGUGUGUUUCUAUAUAUAUAUAUAUAUAUAUAUAUAUAAGAACACACUAUANACACGUUAGUACGGACGACUAACGUAGAACGUAGUUUAGUUUUACGUACCUAGUACGGUACGUCGUAGUCGUUCCGUUUCGUUUNNNNNNNNNNNNNNNNNNNNUAACGUUAAAAUUAAAAGUAAAAAAAGUUAAAAACUAAAAACGUAAACGUAAAUAACGUUAAGUAAGUAGUAGUACGUAUAGUGUGUGUUGUAUAUAUAUAUAUAUAUAUAUAUAUAUAUAUAUAUAUAUAGAAAGCCACUAUGCAACGCUUAUGGGCGCAAAUGAACAGUAUUUUUGCCCAUAGGCUCAGUGCCUUUCGAUUUUUUUGGACGGCAUUAUAGCAUGUCCAUGGCGCUUUCUUUUCACGCAAACAAAACACAGGAAACCGCCAUGGCUCCCAUGGAUCCGUGACGGUUUUUAAGGCAAAACCACCACGGACAUAGUAUGUCUAUAACCGGGUGAAAUACAAUUUAAUUUCGCCUAUAGGCGUUUUUAAGAGUUUUCCUAUAUAUAUAUAUGAUAAUGAACUGGGUUCAUAUACCCUAUAUACUGGUCUUUGGAUGUUACUAUUUGUCCUUGUUAAUCCACCUAGUAUAGGUCUUUGUAGCAUGGAAGAGGUAGAAUGUCUUGAUGGCACAAUAUGUCUAGAUGGUAUUCGACCAGACUCUUCUGAUAGAUUUAUCCUUGUGCGUCUGUUUGUAUUAAAUUGUAUUUCAACAUCUCCAUCAGGAUAUUCAAUAAUUUGGUCUGGUUCCCUGUUAAUUGGGACUUUAGAUUGUUGGUUGCCACAGUGUAAGGACCAAUUUUUUAGAAGAGUAAUUUGGGACCAGCUUAUAGACUUAUGUAUGACUGUAUUCAUUUUUUCCAUAUUGGUUAAAAUAAUACAGUUUGUCCUGUGGUGUCCAUUUGAAGGGCAUUAGGACAUAGAGUGUUCAUUGCCUUAUAACAUAUUCUGUAUACUAAUACAAUAUUUUGUGAUCCAGGGUUCAUAUCAAACCCUUGGGUUUUUAUGUUUAGAGUAAGAACUUUUAAGAAGUUAGGGUCUGCUUGGGAGACAAAAAAGUUUGGAAAACAGUUAAAAUAUAUAGGUCCAUUGCAGAGGCUGGACUUUAUUAUUCCUAAGAGAGAGUCUGAGAAUUUAUUGUGACGAUCGUCUCUUAAACAUAAUAAGACUGAGUUAUUUAAUCCUAAUUUAGUUAAAGGUUUUAUGGCUAUCUGUAUAAGGCCUAUAUGCAGAUAUCGAUAUUCCUUAGAUUUAUGAUUUUGUAUCAUUCUAUGGGAGAGUAACUAAAAACUUUCUUGUUCACUAGUUAUAGAUAUACUUUGUUCUACUGUUUUAAUAGCAAAACUAGACUUAAACUCGAAAGUUCCUUUUUUAUAUAUAUCGGUUAUAGGGACCUUUGGAAUAUUCCAAUUAUGUAUUUGUCGUUUUAUAUUGUCUAUGGUUACUUCUUCUUUAUUUUUUACUCGUAGUGUACUAUUAGACGAGGAAGCUGUUCUAUUGGACAGAGUCCUGAUAAAAUUUUCCAUUUAGGAUAGUGGGUGAAUGCUGAGUCAGUCGGAAACAGUCCCUGUAUCUUUUUCACGGCUCUUCCUGGCCUUUUUCAGUAGUGCGGGUCACAACAACUUUUAGGUUUCACUUCCUUACUAUCUUUAUAGUAAAUUUUAUUAGGUCUUUGACUUUUAGAACAGAUAUCUAGUAAUACAGUUCACCACUGUAAACCUAUGGCUCUGAUACCAACACACACCUUUUGAUUUGGACUUCAAGAUCCUUACUCUUCAAAAAGAAGAAAUAUUCAAAAUAGAUAUAGAAGGAAUUAAAAAUGAUUUCAUGUCUGAAGAAAACAAAGAAAUCCGAGACUGGUAUCUAGCUGAAUUCCCCCAAGAAUUACUAGACGCUGUUCAUAAGAGAUUUAAUAAAUUUAUAAAGAAAAAUAAACAAAAUAUAGGAUUCUUUGAUUGGUUACGAUACAUUCUGAAAGAAAAAGAUAUACCAAUCCCAGACUUUGGUAUUAAUGCUAUAGAAAAUCAGUACCAAACCUUCUAUACCCAUGAAGGGGAAGAAAUACAAAGUAUUCAUCCCCCUGAAAAAAGUCUCCAAAUAAAAGGGGCACUAAAAGAAAAACCUGAGACCAAAGCCUCUCCUUAUAAAAUAAUUCCACAGGAAACUGAACAUCAUACCCAUAAAAUAGAUGUUAUACCUCAUAUAAUUGAACAAAAUAACUAUACUAACCUUUGCCUCCAAACCAUUGGAAAGCAAACAACCAGAAUUGAAAAUAUGAUUGGUAGACCUCAGAUUAUACCCCAAGAAAAGACAAUUGAUACAAAUAAGAAAAAGGCUUUGUUAUUUAAACCUCCUCCAGAGCUCAGCAAAGAGCAGUUUAGCCUGGACGGUGUAAAGAAAAAGGAAGAUAAUAAACAAUUGGUAGAUGAAUUGGUAAAAAAGUUAUUUAAACUAAGCAUAAAAGGAAACAGAAUAGUUAUUAAGCAAGAAGCUAUGGUUUUGCAAGAAGAAGACUUAGCCAAUAGUGAAAUCCAACAAAUGGAGGAAGCCUUGAAAUAAAUAGGAUAGACUACGGGAGGAAAGUAAGACCAACUUCUCAGACCAGGAUGUAUUACCCAAGACCUACUCCUGUAGAUAUUCAGUUUGAAGAAGAUCUAAUAACUAGCGCAGUAUCAUAUUCAGGAAGGACAAUUGUCAAUUGGAAUAUAGAUGGUAUGUCUAAGAAUACUCGAUGCAAUGAAACAUAUGACCAUGUACGCAACAGCGUGCAAAAUAAGCGGAAACCAUGAUCAAGAAAUAGCCAAAGCCAUUAUCUGUGGUUUUACUGGAUGGCUAAGAGGAUGGUGGGAUUUCCAUAUAGAUGAAAAUAGAAAAAGAGAAAUGCUGGUCGCCAUAAGGCAAUGGACAGUAAAAAAUGAGUUUGGCCGAGAUAUAGUCAAUAGUGGGAGUGAUGCAGUAAACACCCUGAUAUAUACUAUUACCCUUCAUUUUGUAGGGAGUAUUGCACUGCUUGAUGCCAGGUUAGAAGAUCUCCUUUUUAGCCUGAGAUGCCCAACAUUAUCUCAUUAUAAGUGGUAUAAGGAUGUAUUUUUCUCUCAUCUUCUUUCCAGAGAAGAUAGUAAAUCAGACCACUGGAAAGAGAAAUUUAUUGCUGGUUUACCACAUCUUUUGUUGAGAAUGUCAAGACAAGAUUAAAAAAUAAGCAUGGAGGAAUAAUCCCAUACUCUUUAUAUACGUUAGGAGAAUUAUCAGCAGAAAUUUGUGCAGAAGUUCUUGCCCUCUGUACAGAUCUAAAGCUAAAAAGACAAUUAGAAAAACAAAAAAUGACACGCAGAAAAGAACUAGGAGAUUUCUGUGAACAAUUCGGAUACAAUACUCUCUGCCUAAAGAUACUGAAAAAAGAAAAUAUAGGCAUAAAAAAUACAAACCAGAUAUCAAUAGAACCAUCACUAAAGAAAAAUCUUCUAGAAAAUUCUCUCCCAAGAAUAGAUUUAAGAAAUACAAGGAAAAAAGAAAAAUACCUAUCUGUUAUAAGUGUGGUAAGGUAGGGCAUUCGAAGAAUAAAUGCCAAAUACAAAAGAAAAUAAACGCCUUAUAGAUAGAAGAAAAUAUUAGAAGCCAAUUAUUUCAUAUACUGCAAAUAAAUAAAGAAUCCUCUGAGCAAUCAUCCGAUUCUGACACAGAACAAAUUGUUGGAGAAAUAGAUGAUGAGAAUUUAAUUUUUAGCAGUACAGAAUCAGAAGAUGAUAAUUGCUUCUGUAAUACACUCGCUAAAGAAGAAAAAUCUAAUUAUUGAUAUAAUAGGUAAAAUUAAUGACCCUGAGGCUAAAAAAGAAGCCUUAAUACAAUAUAUUAAUAUAGCAAAAGCCAACAAGAAGCUCCCUCCUCUUGUCAGAACACAAGAGGAUUACAAUUUUGCCAAAAUGCUUAGGAAAGUCGAAGAUAAAAAUAAUGUUCAAAAAGAACCAUCUAUAUCAGAAUUAAAACAUGAACUAAAUGAAGUACGAAAUGAAUUAAUAAAUUUAAAAAAUAGAAUACAAAUUUUAGAACUAGCCUCUAACCAUCAAGAAAAUAGUCUUGACAAUUCUGAUAAAGAAUUAGAGUUUAAUAAUAUUAUAAAUAAAUAUAAAAAACCUCUACCUUUUAUAGAUGAAAAACCAGAAUCCUCUAGUACAAUACAAACUGAUAAUUAUGUAAACCUACUCGAUAAAGUGGUUACUCAAAAAUGGUUUAGAUUAGUAAAGAUAAUAGUCCAUAAAGAAUAUAGCUUUCAAACAAUUGCAUUAAUAGAUUCAGGGGCCGAUCUAAACUGUAUAAAUGAAGGAUUAGUCCCUACAAAAUACUUUAGUAAAACAACUCAAAUAUUGAAUACAACAGAUGGUAGCAGGAUGGUUAUAAAUUAUAAACUUUCAGAAGCUGCAGUCUGCAAUAACGGUAACUUCUUUGAGUUCCCUUUUAUUAUGGUCAAAGGACUAAACCAAUCCGUAAUAUUAGGAACUCCAUUCCUAAAUAUGUUGUAUCCAAUAAAAAUAGAUAGUUCAGGAAUUGAAGCCAAUAGUGAAGGACAUAAUGUAAAAUUUGAGUUUAUUGAAAAACCUAAAACCAGAGAAGUAAAUAAUAUCAAAGAAACGAUUUAUAAUAAAGAAAAGUUUUUAUAUCACCUCAAAGAAGAGCUAAAAGAUAAAAUAGCUGAUAAUAAACUAUCAACUCCUGAAAAUAAAGAUUUAAUUGAAAAUAUUAAAAAUAAAAUAGAAAGAGAAAUUUGUGCUGACUUGCCAAACGCUUUUUGGAAUAAAAGAAAGCACAUUGUAAGCCUACCUUACGAGGAUGAUUUUCAUGAAGAAAAAAUACCUAUUAAGGCCAGGCCAAUACAAAUGAAUCCCUGAUUAUUAGAAAUCUGCAAAAAAGAAAUUGAUGAUUUGAUAAAGAAAAAUCUUAUCCGGAAAGGUUCUUCUCCUUGGAGUUGUUUCGCAUUUUAUGUGGAGAAAGCAUCCGAAAAAGCGAGAGGGGUUCCUUGGCUAGUAAUAAACUAUAAACCCCUUAAUAAAGUCUUACGAUGGAUAAGGUAUCCCCUCCCUAAUAAGAAGGAUUUGCUUGAUAGACUGGUAAAUGCUUGUAUCUUUUCCAAAUUUGAUCUAAAGUCUGGAUAUUGGCAAAUCCAAAUUGCUGAAAAAGAUAAAUAUAAAACUGCCAUCAACGUCCCCUUGGGACAGUAUGAACGGAACGUAAUGCCCUUUGGGCUGAAAAACGCUCCAUCAGAAUUCCAAAAUAUUAUGAAUGAUAUUUUUAAUCCUUAUAUAAAAUUCAUGAUCGUUUACAUUGAUGAUGUGUUAAUAUUUUUUGAAAGUAUUGAACAACAUUUUAAACAUCUAAAUAUUUUUAUUAAAACAAUAAAAGCUGCAGGGUUAGUAGUUUCAGCAAGGAAAAUUAGUCGUUGUCAGACAAAAAUAAGAUUUUUAGAACAUAAUAUCUUCCAAGGAAGCAUAAUCCCAAUAGAUAGAGCUAUAGAAUUUUCUGAUAAAUUCCUAGAUAUUAUCUUAGAUAAGACAGAGCUUCAAAGAUUUUUAGGAUGCCUUAAUUAUAUCGCUGAUUUUUACAAGGACCUAGCUAUUGAUGCUAAACCAUUGUUUCAAAGAUUGAAAAAGAAUCCACCAAAAUGGACCAAAGAACAUACUAUGGUUGUUAGAAAAAUAAAAAUAAAAGCCAAGGAAUUACCCUGUCUUACACUCUCUAAUCCUACUGCUUUCAAAAUAAUUGAAUGUGAUGCCUCGGAAAUAGGAUUGGGUGGAAUACUGAAACAAAGGCUUUCAAAUACAGAACAGUUGGUUCGUUUUACAUCUCGUGCUUGGAAUCAAACACAACAAAACUACUCUACGGUUAAAAAGGAAAUUUUAGGCAUUGUUCAUUGUGUGACCAAAUUCCAAAGCGAUUUACUCAACCAAAGGUUUUUUAUAAGAAUCGACUGUAAAGCCGCCAAAGAUAUUCUUCAUAAAGAUGUAAAAAACCUUGUCUCUAAACAAAUUUUUGCAAGAUGGCAUGGCAUCUUAUCCUCUUUUGAAUUCGAUAUUGAGCAUAUUAAAGGAAAUAAUAAUUAUCUGCCUGACUUUUUAACUCGUGAGUUUGUACAGGGGGACAGGAGAAUAAUACCAAACAAGGGAAAGGGGAAGAUGGACAUAGUUCCAUUACCAGGCAAAACCCUGAUAACCUCACCAAUAACCCCAAAUCAGCUAAUUAGAAAGCAAGCGUAGGAAAUAACUUUCUCACCUAAGGCAAUACCGACAUCUAAUAGCUCAUGCGGAGACAAAACGAGGUUCAUAGAAACCUCCUUUAUAUCCACAAUAAUAAUAGAGGAUAUUCAUAAAAAUAGAGACCCAUAUGAAAUAGCAAAUAUUUAUUUGAAUAACCACCUUCAUCCAUCCAAUAAUGAUAAGACCCGGGAAUGGUUUGAAGUCAUCCUUCUAGAAACAGGAUCAAUCACAUUGGUCCAUUUUUAUAGGAAAAAUACUAAUAUAAUAGCCUACUCCAAGUUUCAGAUCCGAAAAAUUAUAUCAUAUGAAGAGUGGGGUAUAGACCCAAUAAAACCUAGAAGGUUACAAACCGAAGGAUUCAAUAAUAAAUAUUUUUGAUAUUAUGAUUAUAUGGAAGCUUGGCAUAAAGUUUUUGCCUUCCAAAAUAAUAAUAAUUCUCAUAUAUGGUUUAUCCAAAUAAAAAUACCAUUGAUAGGAGAAUUCCCCAAUUGGUUCAAAAACUGGUUCCAACUUUGGGGAUCAGGAACGGAAAUGUUGCCCCAAAAAAUACAAGCCUCUCAGAGAAAAUUUAUUGAAUACAAUAAUAAUAAUACAAAAAUAGAUGUACAUAUGUAUUUCAUGGCCUUUUAUCAAAUACCAUGGAUCAUGAAGUGGUCCUAUCAAAUAUCUGAUGAUUAUACACAUAAUUGGGAAUACUUUCCUGAAUUGGGAAGACAAAUAUAUAUAAAAUGGUGGGACGUUUAUGAGAACAAAGCUCUGGACCCAGAAAAUAUCAAAAUGAAAAGAAUACCGGUUACACCCCCAGAAGCGGGAAUCAAUAUGUUUGAUUAUAUAAAUAAAAUGCGUCAACAACAUCCCACGGCUAGCAAAGAAGACCUUAAAAAGAAACUACUACAAAUAUUCGAUGACGACGAAGAAGCCAUGUCCACCUCUACACAGAAUGAAGACUAUGCUCAAGAAAACGAAGAUUGUGAAUUUCGACUAUCUCAGAAUUAGAGCAGGCCAAACCUGGGAUGGGAUGACUGUAACUUGAUAGCACACGUGUCCCAAAGUAAGAUGCUGCCGACAAUAAAGGAUACUGACAGAAAAAGAUAGGGCUGACACUUUUGAUGCUGUCGACAAUAAAGGAUACUGACAGAUAAAGAUAUGGCCUACACUUUUUACUAUUCCCACUAUCGGUCAAAUCGGUCGACACCUUUUUACUAUUCAUAUUUUGUCUCUUCUUACCGACACCUUUUGCUGACACCUUUUUACUGUUCAUAUUUUGUCCCUUCUUGCCGACACCUUUUACUGUUUACCUUUUACUAUUGACAAGACAACGAACGUCAAAUGAAAAUUUCGCGUUCGCCAUCUAUAAAAGGGGAAGGGAAGGAGUCAUUCAGGACACGAGUGUUCUCCCCCAAUAACCAGCCCUCUUCUCUUAGCUCUCUUAGUCUCCUCUGCUCUCUUAGUCUCCUCUACCUGCAAGCUCUACAGCUUUCUCUCAUCUUUGCAACCUAUCUCCGCGUACCCGCAGUAAUCCUAUCUGGGUAUUUCUGUAUCUCUCUACCAUCUUUACAACUCUCUGUUCUCUUUGCCGUUGCUCUGCAACCUCAAUGUAUAGCUCUCUCUGUCUCUCUGUGACCACUCUUUAAGCUCUCUGCUAUCUCACUGUUACAGCUCUCUCUGUUACCACUCCUUAAGCUCUCUGCUAUCUCACUGAUACUCUGAAGCUCGACAGCUCUCUCUAACUCUCUGUUACCACUCUCUAAGCUCUCUGCUAUCUCACUGUUACAACUCUCUCUGUUACCACUCUCUAAGCUCUCUGCUAUCUCACUAUUACAACUCUCUCUGUUACCACUCACUAAGCUCUCUGCUAUCUCACUGAUACUCUGAAGCUCUACAGCUCUCUCUGACUCUCUGUUACCAGUCUCUAAGCUCUUUGCUAUCUCAUUGUUACUCUGAAGCUCUACAACUCUCUCUGUUUCUCUGUAUACUCUGCAAUCUCUGUGCAACUCUCUCUCUGAUACUUUGCUCUCUCUCUGAUACUCUGUAACUCUUUGAUACUCUGUAACUCUCUUUGUUAUUGUUACUCUCUCUGUAACUUUACUACUACUCUCCUUUUCCCUUUUCUUUCUAUUGUAUAUCGAGUGGUGUAUCUAGCCACACCGAAUCUGUAAUUGUGAGGAUAACAUACAUGUGUGGGAUUCUCCACCGAGUUUUUACCCAGAAGAGUGGAAGUUAUUUUCAAGUUUUUGCAAGUGCCAUAUGUAAGUGUUUCUAUGCAAGUUAAGUUUAUAUUUUGUUUAAAGUUUAGAGAUACUACUUAUGUUAAUUGGAUGGUAAUAGAUAUUUCUCUAUGUAUGUGUAUUGUUUUUCUGCUAAUACUUCUUCUCAUGAAAUUCGUGUACCCUUAGAAUAAUUGUUGUUUCACAAUAGUAGAUUAAGUAGCUUCUUAAAAUAGUUGUUAAAAUAGAUCUUGGUGUGUGUUGGUAUCAGUAUUUGGAUGUUACUAUUUGUCCUUGUUAAUCCAUCUAGUAUAGCUCUUUGUGUAGUAUGGAAGAGGUAGAAUGUCUUGAUGGCACAGUAUGUCUAGAUGGUAUUUGACCAGACUCUUCUGAUAGAUUUAUCCUAGUGCGUCUGUUUGUAUUAAAUUGUCUUUCAACAUCUCCAUCGGGAUAUUCAAUAAUUUGGUCUGGUUCCCUGUUAAUUGGGACUUUAGAUUGUUGGUUGUGACAGUGUAAGGACCAAUUUUCUGGAAGAGUAAUUUGGGACUAGCUUAUAAACUCUGGUAUGAGACUCUUCAAGGGUAUUUUGGUUAAUUUAUUUUUUGUAAAUUAUUGUUUUAAUAUUUUUAUUAGGUGUGUCUUGAUGAGAGGAAUGAACGCCUAAAAUUUCAAGUGAUUUGGAUUUGUAUAAAAAAAAUUAAAAUUAAAAUACGAAAUGUAGUUGUGAUCAUCAGAUCAGCUCAGAUUCAAAUGGUGUGGAGAAAUGUGGUUUCAAUACGGGAAAUCUUUGUGAUAGCCUUAAAGCAUUAAACAUAGUCUAGAUUGAGUAUAUCUAUGAAAAUUUGAAAAUCUUGAAAAAUUGACGGUUCAAAAAUGCGUUACAAGAUGUAGUAUUUAAAAAAUAUGAAAUCCAUUUUUUUCUCAUGUCCAUGCAUCUUAAUGUCGAGAUGAUAAAUUUGACGAUAUGUGGGCAUCAAAACAACCUCUUUUAGUGACAUGUUUGAGGUGGGCUCCAAUUUGAUUGUUUAGAGCCUCAGCUCUAUAUAAACUUUUUCCAUAUAUAUAUAUGUAUAGGAGAAGUAUACAAUAAGGCCAUUUACUUUUUGCAUAAGGUAGUCGCAAUUAAUCUUGACCUUUGGAUGUGAGAUUGGGUGGUUACAUUUAGUCCAUUGACCAAGCACAAAGUUCAAAAGAAAUUUUCUCGAAUUUUGUUACACACUCAAGCUAUCAACUUUCACUUCUGAUAGUCAUAGGCAGUUGUGACCUUCUUAUAUAAUACGUAAAUGGUCUCAUUGUAUACAAUCCCAUAUAUAUAUAUAUAUGGGAUACUGUCUUGCACCAUACAUUAAGGUAAAUGGAGUGUAUAGGCAGGAUACUGUUUUUAUUGAUAUUAUGAAUUUUGCAGGAUACUAUUUUUGUGGCAAAUUAAUUAUAUGGGAUACUGUCUUGCAUCAUUUUUCCUUAAUUUAUUAAGGCAAAAACAGUAUCCAGUAGCCGUUUCAGGUAAAUUAUGAAUUUUGCAGGUUUUAUUCACUUUUGCAAAACUUUUGGUAUUAAAACAUGCACCAUUGUUGCAUACUACUGCAUCAGACAGUUUGUAAUUUAUUAUCAUUUUACUUCCAUCAGCAUUAUUUAAUACUUGUGUUGUUUUGCUAAAAUAUUUGGUUGGAACUAAACCUUCAUUUAUGCAAUUUAGAUCUGCUCCUAAAUCUAUAAGAGCAGUGGUCUGAAAAGUGUAUUCCUUUUGCACCACUAUUUUAACAAUGGUAAACCAUCUCUGGGUUAUAACUUUAUCCAGGAGGUUUACAUAUUUAUAAUCAUAUAACUUUCUUAGCAUAUUACAGUUAUUUGAAGUUUGUGGAUCAUCUAUAACUUUUGGGAGUGUAUCCUCAAUUUCGGGUGGUAGAAGAUUGUGAUUAUAAUCAUGAAGUUUUAUAUAAAGUGCCUCUAUAUAAAAGAGAGUUAUAGACCAAAAACAUAUAACUCAUAUAUAGAAACAGAGGGACAGGGUAAGGCACUUACAUGGAUAGUAGUCGUGAUAGUAGAUAACCAAAAGAUGUACACAGAAGCACGUUUUUACAAAGCACACACAACACACAACACACUCUUACAAAGCACACUCUUACAAAGCACACAACUUAAGACUCUUAAGAAGACUAUUGCAGGAAGCUCUGCAACGUUUCUAUUCGAAGGUGUCUUCUCCUUUGGUCUGGGUUCCCUUUUAUAGAGUAGGGAAGGCGGACUUCAAACAGUUUUAAAUCCGCACCGACAAAGUGAAGAUAAGAUUCGCAUUCAAAAGUAAAAGUAAAAGAUGCUCUUUACAUCAAUUAAAGAAAGCAAAUUAAAAGAUUCUUCUACAGUGUUUUGUCGACAAUAAUGGUUUUUACUGUAGAGCUCUUUUGGGGACGUGUCCUGAAUAGUCUGGAGUCGUACUGCCCUUGAUCUUUUCUUCAAUUUAUUGGGGAAAAUAUUCUUGUACAAUUGUCUCUAUUUGGAGGGUCACAGUCUGCUAUAUCAUUUUUUGAUAAAGUGGGUGUUUCAACUUCAUCUUCUUCAAGGGCAAAGAGUAGCCUUUUUCUAAUCUCAGCUUUUGAAAGAGUUGGAUUCUUUUGUUGCAUUAGUGAAAUAUAUUCAGAGAAUCCUAUGUCAGACUGUGGCCCAAAACUUGGAAUGACUUUCAUAUAAUCUUUUCUGGCUCCAAAGAAUCAUUUAUGUAGGCAUCCCACCAUUUAAUUGAAAUUUGCCGUUGUAGUUUUGGAAUAUAAUCCCAUCGAUCCAAAUUAUCUUCAGAAAUUUGGUAGGACCAUUUUAAAAUCCAUGAGACCUUUUUAGACUAUUCUUAUUAUAAUCAGAGAAUUUUAUUAUAAUCAGAGAAUUUUCUCUGUGACACUUGCAAUUUUUCAGGUAGUAUUUGGCGUAAUGAUCCCCAUUAUAGGAACCAACUUUUAAACCAAUUUGGAAAUUUUGCUGUUUCAGUUCUUUUAAACUGUACGUACCAACUGUGUAUGUUUAGUAUUUUGGUUUGCAAAUACUUCAUCCCAGGCCUUUAUAUAUUCGAAAUAAUGAUAGGAUUUGAUUUUAAAUCCUUUGGUAUUCAAUACCCUUGGCUUUAAAGGGUUGAGACCCCAGUCUCUAUAAUAAAUGAUUUUAUGCAUCUGAAAAUUUGAAUAUGCUAGUUCUGAGUCAUUGUUUUUGUAAUGGUGUACUAUUGACACCAACCCGAUUUUCAUUAAUAUUGUUUCAUACCAUUCUCUAUAUCUGUCUCCCAUAUUAAGACGUAGAUGGUGGCGUAAGUAUAAAGCUGCUAUUUCAAUAGGGUCUUUUUCCCUGUGCUCAUUUUCUAUUAUGAUCAACGGUAUAUAUACUGUGUCGAGAAAUGGAGUUUUAUUUUGGUUUGGAUUAUUGGUGCUUAAAGGGGAUUGUUGGGGAGGUAUUUUAAUCUCUUGAGCGUGCUUUCUUAUUAAAGCAUUUGGAGUGUACGAGGAAGCCAUGGUCUUUCCUGAGCUGAAACUAUUUCGAGCCAGGUAUUUUUCUGAGCUGGAACUAUUUGAAGCCAGGUAUUUUCCUGAUCUGGAACUAUUUGAAGCCAGGGUUUUUCUUAGGCUAGGGACUAUGUCCAUUGGUUGAUGUUGGCUUCUCCUUCCUUCCCUGUAAAAAUUCUCGAGUCAAGAAGUUAGGAAGAUGGUUAUCUUUUCCUUGAAUAUGUUCAACAUCGAAAUCAAAAGAAGAUAGAAUUCCCUGCCAUCUAGCAAAGAUUUGUUUUGCGACUAGAUUUUUUAAAUCUUUUUCUAAAAUGUCUUUGGCGGAUUUGCAAUCAGUUCAGAUAUUUUUUGUUAAGCAAAUCACUUUGGAGUUUUGUCACACAAUGAAUUAUUGCUAAAACUUCUUUUUUAGUAGUAGAGUAUUUCUGUUGGGCUGGGUUCCAAGCUUUAGAUGUAAAGCUUAUAGGUUGCUCAUCAUUUUGGAUUUUUUGUUUAAGAAUCCCUCCUAACCCAAGUUUAGGCAUCUGUCUCAAUUAUUUUGAAAGCUGUAGGAUCAGAAAGGGCUAAACAGGGUAUUUUUUUGGCUUUAAGUUUUAAUUUUUUAACUGUCAUGGUGUGUUCAUGAGUCCAAUCUGGAGGGUUUUUUUUUAAGCUUUGGAAUAAAGGUUUAGCAUUCAGAGCCAAAUCUUUAUAAAAAUUUGAGAUGUAAUUCAGACAUCUUAGAAAUCUUUGUAAUUCUUUUUUAUCUUUAAUGAUAUCAGGAAAUUUGGAGGCAAAUUCAAUUGCCCUGUCAAUAGGGAUUAUUCUUCCUUGAAUAUAUUAUGUCCAAGAAACCUUAUUUUAGUUUGAAAAAGGUUUAUUUUCUUGGCUGAAACAACUAAACCUGCACUCUUUAUGGCUUUAUAAACGAUGUUCAGAUGUUUCCAAUGCUGGUCAAUAUUUUCAGAAUAAACAAGGACAUCGUCAAUGUAAACAAUAAUAAAUCUGGUAUAAGGAUUGAAAAUAUCAUUCUUAGUAUUCUGAAAUUUUGAAGGGGCAUUUUUUAACCCGAAAGGCAUCACAUUCCAUUCAAAAUAUCCAAAAGAGACAUUAAAUUCUGUUUUAUACCCAUCUUUUUCUAUUAUCUGGAUUUGCCAAUACCUUGAUUUCAAAUCAAAUUUUGAGAAAAUACAGGCAUUGGCAAGUCUAUCUAACAAAUCUUGUUUAUUUGGAAUAGGAUAACGGAUCCACCUCAAUGUUUUAUUUAAAUGCCUAUAAUUUAUGACUAGAGGAGGUGCUUCUCUUUCAAUUUCUGAAGCUUUUUCCACAUAAAAAGCUGCAUAACUCCAAGGUGAAGAACUUUUUCUAAUAAGGUUCUUAUCAAGAAGUUCUUGUAUCUCAGUUUUACUAAUCUCCAGGAGCCUACUGUUCAUUUGUAUAGGUCUGGCUUUAGUAGGCAUUUUUUGUUCAUUAAGGCCAGGUUCAUAAGGAAGUUCUAUGAUAUGUUGCUUUCUAUUCCAAAAGGCAUUAGGAAUGUCGACACAAACUUCUCUUUCUAACGUUUUUUUGAAAUUAUAGAUUUUACCUUGUAUUUGAGGUAAAGUUAAUUUUUCAUCAAUAAUCUUAUGCUUUACUUCUUCUUUUAGAUGAAGAGGAAUUUCUCUUUAGUAGAGAUUUUAUUUUUAAUGUUAUUUAUUUCAUGGACAUUGGGUUUAUCAAUGAAGUUAAAUUUUACUUCAUGUCCCUCAAUAUCUGCUUCUUUCCCAGUAUUAUCAAUUUUGAUAAGAUAAAGCAUAUUUAAGAAAGGAGUUCCAAGAAUAACAGGUUGGCUUAAACGUUUGGCCUUUAUAAAAGGAAAUUUAAAACAUGCACCAUUGUUGCAUACUGCUGCAUCAGACAAUUUGUAAUUUAUUAUCAUUUUACUUCCAUCAGCAGUAUUUAAUACCUGUUUUGUUUUGCUAAAAUAUUUGGUUGGAACUAAACCUUCAUUUAUGCAAUUUAGAUCUGCUCCUGAAUCUAUAAGAGCAGUGGUCUGAAAAGUGUAUUCCUUUUGCACCACUAUUUUAACAAUGGUAAACCAUCUUUGGGUUAUAACUUUAUCCAGGAGGUUUACAUAUUUAUAAUCAUAUAACUUUCUCAGCAUAUUACAAUUAUUUGAAGUUUGCGGAUCAUCUAUAACUUUGGGAGUGUAUCCGCAAUUUCGGGUGGUAGAAGAUUGUGAUUAUAAUCAUGAAUUAAAUCAUUAAAUUCUUCUUCAGCAUUUUCAUUACCACUUUCAUCUUUAGUGGUUGCUAUCUCUAACAUUUGUACUCUGGUUUUUAGAGUUAUAAGUUCAUUUCAAACUUCAUUUAUUUCAUUUUUUAGAUCAGGAAUUGUAGGUUCUUUGUGGACUUGAGUUUUAUUUUGAACUCUUUUUAGGAUAUUCGUAAAACUAUAAUCUUCUCUAGUAGGAACAAGAGAAGGUUUAGAAGAACUCGAGGGUUCUUUGGUUAUAUUGAUAUAAUGUGUCAAGGCUUCUCCUUUAGCCUCGGGAUCACUUAUCUUAUCAAUUAAAUCAAUGACAAGAUUUCUUCUUAUGUGAGUGUAUUUAAGAAAUCACAAUGACAGUCUAUAUUAGUCUUUUCUUCAGAAUCUGUUUCAGAGUCUGAGCUUCAAAACAUUAAAUCCUCAUCUUUUAUUUCUCCGAUAGGUAAAUCUUCAUCAAAGUCAGAAGAUUCAUCAGACUCAUCUCUUUUUAUUAAUAAAAUAUCGAAUAACUACUUUUUGAUCUCAAGGUCUAUUUCAAGAGCAUUUAUUUUCUUUUUUACUCUAUAUUUAUUUUUAUAAUGUCCUACUUUCCCACAGUUGUAACAAACUGGUAUUUUUCUUUUUCCCUUUUGUUUAAAAGAGUGAUCAUGUAAGAAUUUUUUAGGAAAAGUAUUUUUCUUUCUUAUAAUUAGACUUAGAUUUUCUAGAGUCUCUAUAAUUUUGUUUGUGAGUAGGCUUGGAAGUUGGUACAGUAUUGAACCCAAAUUGCUCACAAAAGUCUCCUAAUUCCUUUCUCCCCCUCAUUCUUUGCUUUUCUAAUUGUCUCUUCAAUUUCAUGUCUGUGCAUAAUGCAAGACCUUCAGCAUAGAUUUCUGCUGAGAGUUCUUCAAGGGUAUAUAAGGAAUAGGGAAUAAUUCCUCCAUACUUAUUUUUUAAUCUUAUCUUAACCUUUUCAGCAAAAAGAUUAGGAAGUCCAGCAAUGAAUUUUUCUUUCCAAUGAUUGGCUUUACUAUCUUCCUCAGUCUGGAGUAAAAAUACAUCUUUAUACCAUUUAAAAUGUGAGAUAGUUGGGCAACGUAAGUUUGAAAGUAGAUCUUUCGAUCUAGCAGAUAAAAGGGCUGUACUUCCCACAAAAUGAAGUGUAAUAGUAUAUAUUAGGGUGUUUACUGCAUCUCCCUUAGUCACUAAAUUUUCUAGAUCCUGUCCUUGUCCGACCUUAGCUUUUAUAUUAUAUUGUUUAAUAGCAUUCAGAAUUUGAUCUUUGGCUUCCUCAUCCAUGUGGAAAUCCCACCAUCCUCUAAGCCAUCUGGUAAAUCCGCAUAUAAUGGCUUUAGCAAUUUCGUGGUCUUGAUUUCCACUUGCUUUACAUGCGGUGGCAUACAUUGUCAUAUAUUUCAUAAGAUCAAGAAUAUGAUUUUCAGACAUCCCAUCUAUAUUUCAAUUUACUAUGGACCUUCCUGAAUAGGAAACUGAACUGGCAAUUAGGUCUUCCUCUAUAUGAAGAUCUACAGGGGUUGGUCGAGGGUAGUACAUUCUGGUUGGCGCAACUGGCCUGGUUUUUCUCCCAUAAUCUAUUCUAGUAAUUUCUAAGCUUUUGAUUUAAAAGCUUUUUCUAUUUCAGAUAUUUGUCGAUUUGAAAAAACUUUUAUCUUCUUGGAGGACUUGUACAUCACUAGAUUUUUCUUUUAUAUCUAGUUUUUCAAGUCGUUUUACCAAUUCAUUUACUAAUUCUUUAUUAUCCUCUUUCUUUUUGAUUCCCUGUAGGUUGAAUUUUUCUGCCGCAAUAUUAGGAGGUGGUUUGAAUGAAACUGCCCCUUUUUCUUUUUCUUCUUUCUUCUCCUGGUGUUGAGGUUUUAUUGUAUUUAGGACAUUCUCUAUCCUAUUAGUUUGUUUUCUUAUGGUUUGUAGGAAAAGAUUUGUAUAAUUAUUUUGCUCUAUUAUGUGGGGAAUGGCUUCAAUUUUAGCCAUCUGGUUCUCAAAAUCUUUUGGUCCAAUUUUGAAGGUGAGGCUUUUAUGUCUUGUUUCUCUCCUUUCAAUUGUAAGCUAGUUUCAAGUGGAUGGAUAGCUUCAAUACUUUCUCCUUUAACUGUAUGAAAAGUUUGAAAAGUAUUUUGGACAGUAUUAACCUGAGUAUUUACCUGGAAUUCUGGGUAUUUUAUUCCUUCUUUUUUAGGUAUAUACCUCAGCCAUUGAAAAUUUUUACAUUUGUUUUAUGUUGUAACAUGAAUUUAUUAAGUUUUAUAUGAAAAAUUUCUUUUAAUCUUUCAUUAAAUUCUUGAAGAAAUCAUUCUCUUAUUUGUUUAUUUUCAUCAGAGAGAAAAUCCUUUUUAACCCUUUUUUUAUCUAUGGUAAAGUCAUCUUGAGUUUGGGUUGUCAGAAUUUCAAAAUCGAAUUCAGACAUAGUAGGUUCUUCUUGCUCAGUUUGGGCAGAGCUGAAAGUAUUCACGGUAUAGACUGAGUGUUGAACCUGGUUCUCAAUUUUCUUUAAACUUUCAAGAAUAAUUCUAUCAUUAUGAGCCCUUUCAUAAUUAGAUUGAAGUAUAGAAGAAGUUGAACUUCUAGGAGGAAUUCUAGAAGGAAUUCUCGGAACCAUAUUCGAAAAGACAGUAUUUGAAAUGGUAAGGCACUUUUCUACUGAAUAAAACUUGGCUCUGAAUAAAACUUUUCGUAUCAGGUAAAUUUCGGAAUGGAUACCAAAAGUUUUGCAGGAAGACAAACAUACAUUAUGAAAUGGCUUAUAACUAUCCAUUUUAAAACUAAUUUAAAAUUAUAUAUAUCAGGAGCCUUUUUAUGGCAAAUUUGCUAUCACUGAUACCAAAAUUUGCCUAUAUUUGGAGUGUAUUUUGCAGGAUACUGUUUUUAUGGAUAUAUGAAUUUUGCAGGAUACCGUUUUUGCGAAUUUAAUACACUCCAUUUACCUAUAGGCAAAUAGGUAUACUGUUUUUAAAAUAGGUAUAUAUAUUUGCCUAUAGGGAAAUUGGCAAAUAGGUAUAUAUAUUUGCCUACAGGCAAAUAGGUAGUUUUGCCUACAGGUGCAUCUAUGGACGUAUAUCCUGCAAACAGUUUACCUAUUUGCCUAUAGGCAAACAAUAUACCUAUUUACCUAUAUAUAUAUAUAUAUAUAGGAAAAGUUAUAUAAGNNNNNNNNNNNNNNNNNNNNNNNNNNNNNNNNNNNNNNNNNNNNNNNNNNNNNNNNNNNNNNNNNNNNNNNNNNNNNNNNNNNNNNNNNNNNNNNNNNNNNNNNNNNNNNNNNNNNNNNNNNNNNNNNNNNNNNNNNNNNNNNNNNNNNNNNNNNNNNNNNNNNNNNNNNNNNNNNNNNNNNNNNNNNNNNNNNNNNNNNNNNNNNNNNNNNNNNNNNNNNNNNNNNNNNNNNNNNNNNNNNNNNNNNNNNNNNNNNNNNNNNNNNNNNNNNNNNNNNNNNNNNNNNNNNNNNNNNNNNNNNNNNNNNNNNNNNNNNNNNNNNNNNNNNNNNNNNNNNNNNNNNNNNNNNNNNNNNAAUUAACGGUCCAAUGAUUCUUAAUGAUAUUAUUUCUAGUUUUGAAAUUAUUAUUUUUUCAUAAUCAUGAUCUCCUCCACUGUUAGAGAUUACAUAGCCUUAAAAAUUAAGUCCAAAAAUUCAUCUCAAAAAACGAUUUAUUAAGGGGCCCCCAUUUCGACGUGUGCGGGCUUGGCCUGCAUGCUAACCACAUCCAUAUGUAUUUUUUCUUUUGACAAGGUAACAUAGGAAUAGAACUUGAGACAUAGCGCUAUGAAAACCCAGCUGCUACCUUUAAUGUAUAAGAAAUUUCGAUACAUAAUUUGGAUGUAAUUGGCAAAAAUUGGUGAGUUUUUUGUGCCAUAUGCCCUAUUUUUAUAUUUUUCCUUUCCUUUGAUUUUUUUCCCAACCAUAUAUAUAUAUAUAUAUAUAUAUAUAUAUAUAUAUAUAUAUAUUAAAUCAUGUUUAUAUACUAUUUUAAGUGGGCUCUUGGCCCUGUACAGUACUCAGGCAAGUCCACUCGGACUUUCCUCUUGAGGGAGUCUUGAAACACUGGUGUUUUGGUCAUUGCUCAAACCCUUUGCUUCAGUUUACUGUUUUUUUCUUUUUUGGUAAGGCGAUUCUGGAUCUUGAAACACUGGUGUUUCGGUCAUUGUUUAAGCCUUUCUUGCUGUUUCUCUUUGCUUUGAAUUCCUGUUAUUAUGUGCCUUCACUUCUCUGUACUCACAAUAGUGAUUAUCAGUGAAAUUUCUUGGUUACUGUGUGAAUUGCCUUUUGAUUCAUAGAGACAUUUGGCAAAAUGGCUUCUCGUUCAUUGAUGUUUCUUUUAGUCUUUGAUAUUUGAUAAAUUUGAUUUACUCCCUUUUCUUUAUGCGAGCAACCUUUGGCUUUUGCACUUCAUGCUUUUUUACAAUCACAAUAAUCCACCAUAUGAUAUGAAUUUUAUGGUCAUAAGUUACAUUGAUCUUGGACAUAAUUUGUGAUGCAUGAUGAAGUAUUUGCUAAACUUCUUCACCAACAUUUCUUAUUUCUUUGAUUCACGAGUAUGAUUAAAAGUAGUUCUCGAGCAUCUUUUUCUGUGGUGAAUGUUAUAUAUUUUAGUCCAUGUUGUUCCACUUCCAUCCCCCUGCUCUCCAAUUUUUUCUUGGGCAAAAUGCCUUAGUAUGCAUAUGAUUUGCAGAGUAAAGCUAAAGAGAUGGUGACGUUAGCGGAGAAGAUGAGGUUGAAGCUUUUAGCUGGGCCGAAUUCGCAAAACACUGGAGCAAACGAGGAGGAGAUGGGUUCUAAGCAAGAGAUGCAGGAUUGGCUUCUCAGUGUUGGGAUUGUAUCCCCUGUAACAAAAGAGACAGCUGGUGCUCAAUAUCAUCAGCAACUGUGCCGCCAGGUUAUUUUUCUUGUGCUCUUGCUUUCUUCACAAAAAUCGUGACAACUUAUAUAUUUGUGUGUGUGUGUGUUUGUUUGUUAGUCUUUGGCCAAAUAAAUUCAUGAUCUUUAUCUUUGUGUUUGUGUGUGUGUGUCUGUGUGCAGCGUGUAUGUGCCUUUAGGCAUUUUCUGGGCAAAUAAGUUCAUGGUCUUGAUAGAGAUUUCUUUAAACAUCAAAAGCUUUCUUUGAUUUGUGUUGGUAAUUCAGCUUGCAGAUUUUGUUAAGAUACCCUUGGAGAGAGCUGGGGGAAUGAUGGCAUUGAUAGAUGUUUAUUGUCUUUUUAAUCGUGCCAGAGGAACUGGUAUGUAUUAUAGAAUUUAUUAUUUCUACUUCAAUGUUGUGUUUCUUAAUUUGUUUAUUAAAAGGAAUUCACAUUUUCUUAGUUUAAUGAGUGGAUUUUAUAUCCCUUGUGGCAGAGUUGAUUGCGCCAGAAGAUUUAUUACAAGCAUGUGCUAUUUGGGAGAAGUUUGACGUGUAUGCAAAACAGACCUUUCAAUCUCUUUCAGGUUCUAAUGCCCUAUUUGAUCGGCUCAUCUAGUAAAUCUUAUAAGGGUUUUUAUUAUGUUCUCAAAUUUAUAACAUAUAAGAGCAGGGACUAAUUUCAAUGAAUUUCUUGAUGGCUCUUCCUUUUGACUAAUAAUUUUGUAAUUUUUAUGAUCAACAGUCCGGUGUUGCUUAGAAAGUUUGACAGUGGAGUCAUGGUUGUCCAAAGCAAGGCACAUAGCGAUGAGGAGGUAUUACUCGUAAUUUAGACUCAUGAUGAUUCUUUAGCUGGAUGGCGCUGAGAGAUAAUUCCCUGAAAGAGCUUGUGAAAGAAUGACCAAGUCUUGGCUAUUUGAAUUCCUACAUAGUUGGGGAUGAUUGAUGAUAGUACUGGCCUGCAUUAUUGACAAGUUGAGAUUUGUCGUGGAUUAUGACUACUGAAACCCAAAUAUCUCUGAAUUCCAAUAGCAAUGGCUUUUUCAGCCCCAGUGGUUCAUAAAUUUUAUUCUUCAGCCUUGUAGUUUGUAUGUUUGAUCAUUUUCUACUUUAUGGAAGUUCGUUUUGCUGAAAUUAAAUAUUUUUGUUAUUAUUAUUAUUAUUUAUUUCGCUUGAUUUCUUUGUGAGCCAUGUGUCAGCUAUUGUCAGUCUUCACUUCAUUUUACUUAAAAUUCUUUGCCUUAGGCAAAUUCUUUUUGGCUUUUUGAUCUUUGGUGUGAACAUUCAUUCUUGCAAGUUUAGGUCUUUGCAAGAAUAAGAUCCCUUGCGUUAAAACCAGAAGCCCUCAGGACGGGUAUAAGUCCAAGUGAUGCUGCAAGGACAUUAGGGGUUGCACCGGCCCUCGCCAAAGAGCACCUUCUUGCAGCUGAAAACAAAGGUUUGCAUGGUCUUUUUAAGUUGUCAUGGGGCUGAAAUUUUCCAUUUUUAUGCACUACUGAAUUUUCAGUUUUUCUUUUGUUGGUAUAUUAUGGCAUUAUGUUGGCUCUUUUUCUUUAUCAGGUCUGCUAUGCAGAGACAUUGCCCCAGAGGGUCUCCGUUUCUACUUGAAUUUGUUUAUUGAAGUUAAUCCAAGCAACAUGUACAUGUAAGUUGGACAUAUGCUUGCAAUAUUUCGAAUCUCUAUCUCUGGCAUUUAGUCUUACUUUAAUUGGGUAGCCAGACCUAUUGAAAUGAUCUCUAAUUACUGCGCCCUAACAUGCUUGAACUGGCCACACAUGAUUCUUCUUGGUUUCUCUCUUUUUUUAUCUUGAUUCUUUUGGAAAUAACUUUAUUGUCGUAGAAUAUUGGUACAACGAGCCAGAAUACAUAGAGCUAAUUAGCUACAAUGGGGGGAAACAAAUCCCCACUCGCAAAUGCAUUUUGAGGCUUCAAAUGAUUAUCUGAUAUUUAAUGGUUUUGUCUAGUAGAGAGGGGCACCUGUGUUUAUGUGGAAUGUUUUAUCAUGGAUGACCAGGCUUCUUCUUGGUUUCCUACUUUGGGGUGGAUCACCCAAUCAUUUAUUUAUGGACCCGGUUUCUAUGCGGCCAAGCCCACAUAUGUAGAAAUGCGGGCCUCUUAAUAAAUCUAUUUUUGAGAUGGAUUUUAAGACUUAAUUUUUUAAGGACGUGUAAUCUCUAACAUGGACAUCAUAAAUAUAAAAAAAUAAAUAAAUUUUAAAAACUAGAAAUAAUAAUUCUAGUAAAAAACAUUUGGACCGUUAGUUUCCAAUGUUUUUAGAUGUAACACCUACUUGCAUCCAUCUUUAAGAUGGAUGCUUUACACUUUCUUGACCUCAUAUGUAGAAAUGCAGUCCAGCCCACAUGAAACAAUUUUCCUUUAUUUAUUGUGGAUUAUCCUCAGCUUAGGGGUUUCCAAUUGUCGUGCUAUUGUGUUACGUGCUAUUGUGUUAUGUGCAUAAGCGUCAUGAAGACAUUUGACCAUCUCCCCAUUCAUGUGUAUUCACAAUAAGAAUUUGGGGUUUGUUAGGGGUCUGUUUCGCUGACAAUUAAUUUUAGGGUGAGGUUGGUGUAAGGCAUAGUUAGCUAUUCGGCGAUUAAUCGCCGAAUUUUUCAAAAAAUCGGCGCAUUUUUUAAAAAGGUUUUAAAUGCCGUUUUUUUGAAAAGUUUGUCCAAAAAACGUGUAUUUUUCAUAAUACCGUUAAAAACGCGAUUUUUUGGAAAACAAAUAAAAUGGCUCCAAAAAAACUUCUGCGAAAAUUUCUAGUGAGAGAAGGGGGAACUGCUAUCAAACCUUUGUGAAAAAUCCCUACUAAAAUCUGGGCACUCCCUCCCCCCCUUUGCAAAGAACUAUAUCAAAUCUCAGUGAAAAAAUGGUUUGAUUUUGGUUUGAUGGAGCUUUGAAGUUGCUUUAAUGGUGUCUCUGAGUCUUGCGCUGGUUUACUAUUACAGUGCUUUGAAUUUGCAUUCAACAAUGAAGCAGACCUCUUAUGGGUCCUCUUUUUGAGCUCAUCAAUGGCUGGUUUUGCCUUGUUAAUGAGCCAAUCCAUUGCUUUACUCGGCCUAUCAUAACCAAGCCGAUCUUGAACAUCAUAGAACUGAAUAGCCGUAUGAGCAGCGAGGCGGACACACCUAUCUCUCGGCCCUUUUGCUGUACUGACCUUGCUGUGCUGAUCUUUCCGACCUAUGGCUCUCACUAUAUGACCGCCUUCGACUUUCACUAUCUCACCUCUGCCUCCUAUUGACUGAAAGCUCAGCCUUUGCCUCUGAUUUUCCGAUGAGUUUUGCGGCUGGUUCCCCAGUGAUAUUGCCCCAUAAGUUUGAGCAUUGUUAGGGAAAGGAGAGAGCCAUGGGGUUUGGUAAUGAUGUUGAGUUUGAGAGAGAGGGGUUGAAAGAAAGGGGGGAGAUUCAGAGGUGGUUUCCUCUGGUUGAGAUUUGGGUCUCUUUCCCCUUCCAGAUUUGGGUCUUGAAGUGAUUAAUCUCAAAGGAUGUCUGCACUGUUAAUACUUCAUGGGUGAACCAGAGAUGAGCUUCUAUGGCAACGGCGGAGAUGCACCAAAGUGCAAGAAAGCUCAACAUCUUAGUAUUGUUAAUCGUCUCUCUCUCUAAAAAACGGUUUGAUUUUUCACAGAGGUUUGAUCCAAAAAUUAGUGAAUUCGAAAUAUUUCUAGAGAGAGAAGGGAGAACUGCUAUCAAACCCUGUAAUAUUUCAGCUUGAUCUAGCUUCUCUUUAUAUGGUGUAUUUUUUUAUAUGGAUUUAAGUAAGUUUGAUAUGGUGUAAUUUUUUGAUAUGUAUUUAUUUGAUUUUUGUCCUCCGAUUUUUUGAGUCUAGUCCGAUAUAUUGGCAAUAUCAUUACAUGAAGUAUUUUUGCCGAUCCGUAUUUUUUAUCCGAAUUUUUUCAUGCGAAUAUUUAAAAUAAAAACGAAUUUUUCCGAUUUUAAGGUAAGCCAAUUUAUUGAAAGUCCCCGACUUGUUAACUAUGGUAUAAGGUGCCCACCUUAUACUAUAAGUAAGGUGCAUCUCAAAAUUUUUCUAGAUGACGUAGUUCCGGUAUCGGAAACCUUACGAUGACCUCGAAAUCCACGUUCAACUUUAAUUAUGAAAUUAAAAAUGAUACAGAUUGAGUACAUCUAUAAACACUUGAAAAUCUUGAAAGUAGAUGGUCCAGAUAAGUUGCUAGAAGAUGCACUACUUUUAGGACUUGAAAUUUUUUCUUCUUUAUAUCUGUAUACAGUGUUUCAAAAAGCAUUAGGCGGCACCUAGGCGGCGCCCAGAACAUAAAUUUUUUUUUUGGGUUUUUCUCUUUCUAAAAUAGGCUUUAAUGGGUUUUAGGUUUCAAAUGAACUUAAAACCCACAAUUUUGCACGUUUAGUAUUAAAAAAAUGACCAAAAAAUAUCCUCAACGAGGGGCAUUUCCAUCCCUAGGCAGGGCGCAGGCCCUGUGCGGCCGCUCGGGCGAGUGCCUAGGGAUAUCCACUUUUUUUGGGCGCCUAGGCUUGGGCGAUGCGCCCAGGCCCUAGAACCGCCCAGGCGCUGGGCGGGCCGCUUUUUGAAACACUGUCUGUAUAUCUUGAAGCCGAGAUGAUGAUGGUCAAUUGGAACGUUUUUAACUUCAGAACUUUCUUUUCUACUGGAUUUUUGAGGUGCACCUUACUUCUAUAGUAUAAGGUUGCAGCCUUAUAUAAACUUUUCCCUUAAAUUUAAAUGGAAUAGACUAUCUUAUGUAAAACUAUUAUAGUCUCGAUAAAAUAAUCUUAUUAGCUGUUUGGUAUAUAUCAUAUGUUAUGUAUAACAUUAUUUAAUUAUUUAAUUUUUGCAAUGAAUUCAGGCUAUUUGUAGCUAUUUUUGGCAAAAAACAUGUGAUAGUGAAUAAAUUGAAACUGCUUUACAAAACAUAAACUUAUCUAUAAAAUUGCCUAUAAGUUUAACUCUGAUAAAUUUAUGAUGGAUGCCAAGCCCACUUGUAGCGCAGCUAUUGCUUUUUUUUUUUAGUUAUCAAAACUAAAAGCGAGGUGGCUGGCUGUGCAGAGUAUAUCCCUAACCCAUAUGCUCCAUGAACUCCCUUGAAUUGAUUGAUCAAUGAAACAUUGAGAAAUUGGCCAAGCAAGAGAGGUGCAUAAGCACUGAGCAAGCCAAAGACUGAACUUCAUUCACUCUUUCCUCUUUUCCUUGUUUAGCCACUUUGUCCUUCCUCUAAUUUCCGCUAGCAAACCUGCACUUGCUUAUCACAAUCACUUGCUUACAAAAAUCGUACUCAUAAGACAACAGAUAGAGGAGUCUCUCUCUUUAAGAAAACCCUAUCCUAUAUUAAUUAUAGGGAAAAUAUCCUAUUAUCCCCUGUUUUUAACUUCUAUAUCUCAUCAGACCCAAGAAUUGAAAAUAUUACUUGUAAGCAAAAGGACUCGAUCAUUUCUAUCUUCCCUUUUGACCAUGUACUAUUGACCUCAACAACUUAUGAAAUGACUCUAUCUCUCUCUCUCUCUAAAGUCUCUCUCUCUCUCUCACAUCAUCGUCUAUCUCUCUCAAAACUCCAUCUCUCUAAACCCAAACUCCAUCUCUCUCUCUCACAUCAUCGUCUCUUUUUCUCUCAAAAUUCCAUCUCUCUCCUUAAAACUCAAACUCCAUCUCUCUCUAAAACUCCAUCGCUCUCUAAAACCCAAAGUCCAUCUCUCUCUCACACAUAAGAAGUGUGUUCGUGUUCGAUCACAAGUUAAUCCCCUUGGCUGGUAAACUCAUCAAGAAGUGAAGAGAGAGAGAUAUGGAGUUUGAAUAGGGUGUCAUUUUAGUGUUUGUUUAGAUCAAAAAUUUAUGGUCGAAGAGGUCCAGGGGGUUGUAAGAUAGAAAAGAGGGAGACCUUUUGCUUACAAGAAAUAUUUUCUUGGGUCUCAUGAGAAUUGAGACCUAUUCUCAUGAGAACCCUGACCAACAUACCAGAACGGAUUCUCUAAGAUGGAUGCCAAACAACUUAUAGUUCAUUAUCGGAAUUAACUUUAUUUAAAUAGUGAAUUAUAAGUGAUAACAAGUGCAUCCCAACAGGCCCUAGACCUAUGCACCACAUCUUUGAGUGAAGCUUCUCUUAUCUGACCUCUCUUUUAGAGGGUCUGCGUUUAAGAUUUAUUCUAGCAAUUUAUUGGGCUUCAUGGAGUAGAAGGAUAUGUGAAUUUUCUAUGGUACAACUUCAAAAAAUGGAAGACAAAAGAGCGGAUUAAGGAGCCUGUUAUCUCUUGUGCUAAUCAUGGAACAGUUUAGCGGUAUUGAGAUGGCUGACUUGGUUUGUGCAUAUGGAUGCUAUCACAUUGGAAAGCUGUAUAAAUCAAAAAAAAAAAGGGGAAAAAAAAGAGAGAGGGACAAACCACAAUGUGGGAUACCGAAGUUAAAGAUGAAUGGGAGUUUGUGAGGGAAUUCUAGAGCCUCGAGUGAGAGGUCUCACUAAGACUAGCAAACCCUUGGUCCUAUUAGCUUUAUGCCCCCCCUGGGAAAUUGAAAUUCUAUUGAGAUAUUGGCAUAGAUGCUGCAUAAAUUGGCUCUAUAUUUUGUUAUUUGAAUUUGUUGAGCCUCACUGAGGAUGAGUAAUCAAAUGUUAUCAGAUGGGUGUGAUAUGAUAUAUGCUUCCAUGGAGGACUGCAGUUAUAUUUGAGGAUAUUUUGACGGUCAUCUAUUUUGUGGAAGUUUCCUUUUGCCGUGUCCUUAGAGAUCCCUAGUUAGACCAGGGUUAACUAGAAAGGACCUUAGCAAUAGAUUUGUAUCUCUUGUGCUUGCAAUAGGAACCUUAUUGCAAGGAGCCACCCCAUCUAAAGUUCCUGUAUUCUGAACUUUAUGUGUGCUUGCUAUGUAACUUGAUCUAACCUUGAUGUGCAUCUGUCUUUUAGUAUUAAUUGAAGUUACUUGCUGAAUAUUAUACCCAUUUUUGGGAAAUUUAUUAGAUGAUUGAGGUUAUUCUCUCUGUUUUCUGAAAAAUAUUUCCGUCCUGGCUUUUACUAUUUCUGCCAAAAACCUGCAGAUUUGUUCUCUGAUUCCCCAUUGUUUAAUGGCUCUCAAACCUCUUCUAUGCAAGUGAAGAUUCUGAUGUUGAAGGUUAAAUCUUGCAGGGAUCAACAUGGUGGUCUCUUGGGCACUUGGGUUUCAAUAAUUUCUAGUCAGGGCUAGCUAUCAUUAUUGUGCUUAUUCUUCAUUGGUGACACUUGGGGAGUUUGAUGCAGCUUUUUGGAGUAAGUUGUGGGGGAAAUUCAUGUAACACAAUUGUGUUGAGGACUAGCAGCAUUUCUCAUGCAUAAUAAUGAUUUAUUUAUGGGAGAGCUGAGAACCCUAUGUAUUUAGAUUUGCAGCACACCCCCUUUCCCCAAAGUGGAUUUUUUAUCCGAGUUGUGCACUGGUUUGCUAAUCAGGAUCAUUGUAUACGUGAUUUUAACUUGUUUGUUGCUCGUUGAAAACCUCUAAAAAUGAAUCUGGUGAUUUGAGGGUUGCGCCUUCUUAAUGGGUAAUUUUUAUUUUUGCCAACUAGAUCAUUAUUCUUUGUGAAGGGAUAAGGUCAAUGAUUGGUGGCAAUUGUCCUUUUCUUUUCUUUUUUUAAAGUGAAUUGGUGGCAAUUAUCUUUUUCUCUUUUACUUUUUUCUUUUAGUCCCUUGUUCUUUUGAUAAAUUGAGAGAAUAAUGGUUUUGUACACAAUUAUGUAGGAAAAUUUAUAUUGGAGGGCCACGGCUCAAAAUUAGCAAGAAAUCACAAUUCUAGCACCAAAAGACUCUAAAAUCGAGGAUGUUAACUUCGACUAUGGAUAUGAAAAGAAAAUGGAUUUCAAGCUUUAGAAAUAGUAUAUUUUAUAAUAUUUGCACGGUCAAUUAUGGAUAUAACAAAAAAAAUAGAUUUCAAGUUCUAAAAAUAAUAUAUUUUAUGAUAUUUACAUGGUCUAUUUUUAAGUAUUUACAAAACUGUCACCACUUUUGGAGCUUCGAGUUUCAUAUAAAGGGGUGGGGAAUAGAUUUUCGAAGUGGUAAGGUUUCUGGUGUUGAGAUUGUAGUUUCCAACAGGAUUUUAAAGUGUAGGUUUAUUUUGAAGCCUCGGUCUUACAAUAUUAUUAACGCAAACUGCAAAUUUUAUGUUUUGUGUUUGUCUAUAUAGAGACCAUUUAUGUUUUGUACGUGGAGGUCACAAUUAUUGUUCUUUUAAAUUUUAAAAUGGGUGGUCAUUAAAAAAAAGGUAUUUCUCGAAUUUUGUGACUUAUUUCAAGUCAUACAAUUUGAUGUUUAAUGAGUGGAAUUGAUUAUGAUCUUCGUGCACAAAAGAUAAAUGAUCUCUUUAUAGAUAUUUUUAUUUGUUUUUGUUCAAUUCGUUUAUUUAUUGCAGUUUAAGGUUGUAGACCUCAAACUCGUGCUUGGACUGUGACCUUCUCAAUCUAGGGAUGGUUAGAGGUUUUAGGACCCGAACCACUUGACUUCCACAAUAUUCAAUCUAGGGACUGGUUAGAGGUUUUAGGACCCGAACCACUUGACUUCCACAAUAUUCACACAAGCUAUGCGGUUCGAUCUUGAACUUUAACCUAGUUUUUACAUUUCAAUAAAAAAUAAAAAAUAAAAAAUGGUGAACUUUAAAACAACGGACAAAAUUGGAAAACUAAAAAAUGGUGAGUAUGCAGCAAUCUGAAGUACCGAACUGGUGGACUUUCCCGUAAAUGUUUAUAAAUUUUGGGCCUUUGCAAAAUUAUAAUAAUUAAGUAAGUUACGGAAAUAAAUUUUCCUUGUUCUUUUUUAGAACUAUAAUUUUACAACUCAAUAAAUAGUGCAAACCCGAUGACGGCAAAGAAAACUAUUUUGGUGGAGAGAAUAUUUAUUUAGGAUAGAUUCGUAGGAUUGAGCUAAAUGAUGUCCAAAUCGGGCUUGUUUUAAGUUUUGAAACUUGUUUUGUUUUUACUUUUAGUUUCUUGUUCUAGGUUUGGAACUUCGAUCAAGUAAGAGCCAUAUCAUUACCUUUAAUGUAAAUAAGUUGAGUCAAAUAGUGGAAGUGGUGGCCUCUAAAGCUGCCUCUUCAACCAACAUCAGAAGCUAAGAAGUCGUUGUGUCCCCAAAUUAACUUCGCAUGGGUUAAAAAAUAACAUAGCAGUUUAUAUUUAACAAACACAAGAAGUGCUACAACACCGGAAGCAAGUGAAAUCCGUGGUUUUCAGUAAUCAAACACGCCCUAAAGAAAAUUAGUAUGUGCUACAGAACUCGAAGGCUUUUAAAAAGUUAUUUUCACAUUAUUAUUGAGAGGCUUCCAAAGCUCUAAGUUAAAUAUAAAUCCAUGAUAGAUGCAUUAUUUAACAUUUUAGAUUUUGACAUGAUAUCCAUCCAUUAUUUAACAUUUUAGAUUUUUGACACUUCCAACUCAUGGUCAUGUGUCUGUCUAAGUGUUUUUUGAAAUUAAUUCAAACAAUAUAAAUACAAUAUCAAACAGUUGAUUUCAUGUAAGUAUUUUGAUAACUCCCCUCCCUCCCUCCCUCAAAAUACAAUAAAAAAUCUACCGCUUUUUUGCGUGAGGGAGUCAAUGCACAAUGCGGUCCCGCGGGAGCAGGCCAUAGACGCUGGGGACGAAUUCGGCCGGAAAUUAAGUGAGUUCAAAUGCGAGAGGCAAACCAAGUGUCGAACGCAGUAUGUGGGCUCGCAAAGUAGCGCGCGAAUAGAGGCUCUUUAGGGUUUUAAAACCAGCCUCUUUUUCUCUCUCAACUACCCACCGUACUCUAAAAAGUGCGAAAUCUCUACUCUAAAACCAGUUUCUAUGUAUCUUCACGCUCAAUGUCUUAAACCCCCUUCUCUCUCUCUAAAACCAGUGUCUGUGUCUUCACGCGCAGUAUCUUAAACCCUCUCUCUACCUAAAACCAGUUUCUAUCUAUGUUCAGGCUCAGUGUCUUAAUCGCUCUCUCUCUCUCUAAAACCAGUGUCUAUGUUCACGCUCAGUGUCUUUAAACCUCUCUCUUUAUCUCUCUCGCUCUUAUUCUUGUUCUUAUUUAGCAGUUUCUCUCUCUAGAAAAGAGUACCAGUCCACUCCAGUUUGUACUAAACCCAACCCCUCCAUCUACAACCAUUGUAACUGUACCCUGUCCUGAAAUCCUCUCUCUCUCUCUCUUUAAGAGAGAGAAUCACUGCACUCCACUGUGUCGUAAAACUCUCUCUCUCUUACCUGAAGAGCAAUAUAAUUUCUCUCUGAAAUGCUUCAAUGGCAGGCCACUCAAGCCUGUAGAAAGACCACUUCUUUCCCCUCUUUGAUGGCCUUCUCCUCUUCCCUUCGCCUCGCAACCAAAACCCUAGUUCGGUUCCACCAUUCUUCUCUGCAACUCCAUGGCUCCUUCACCUGUUUCCCGCACCUCCAAACCCCUAAUUACAGGUUUUUCUCUGUCAAAAAGGAGGUCAGGCUUUUAUCUGGUGUUUCGAGGGGGCCUGGUAAAGGCUCUGGUGUAGUCAGGGCAAAACGUAGAGAUGGCGGAGAUGAAGGAAAGGGAGAAAAGAAAGCCCUGGAAAAUGAUGAUGCAGAGGGUGGAAAUGGAGGGGUUAUGGUUAAGGAGAAGGCUUUUGAGGCCAGGGUUGUGAUGGCUGAGCUUCACAAGGAGGCCACCGAGUCUUACUUAGCUUAUGCCUUGUCUGUGCUUGUUGGUCGUGCUUUGCCUGAUGUUCGCGAUGGAUUGAAGCCGGUGCAUCGUCGAAUUAUGUGAGCACAACAAACCCUCUUUCUCUUUCUACAUUUCCUGGUCAGUGUGCUCUCGCUACAUUCCCUCUCUCUGUGGCUUCUGUAUCUUUUUUGCCUCUUGCCUGUGUGCUCUCUCUACGCUGGAUCUCUCUUUCCCUCUCUCUAUUUACCUUUGGCUGUCUGCUCUAUCUCUCUACUCCCUCUUCUUGCUCUUUCUGAGCUACCGAAUAGUGUAAACAGUGGAAUCACCUCUCUCUGCAUUGUACAUCGCGUGAGAAUAGUCCCUUUCUCUCUCUAUUUAUGUGUCCCUAUAAUAGAACUUCUAUUUCUCUAACUGGGUUCCUCUUUCUCCCUCUACACUGUAAAAGCCCUAGAGAAUAACUUCUCUCUAACGCAUCUCUGUCUCUUUCUCUCUCCUUAAUGUCGAGCCCCAGAAGUAGAAACUCUCUCCAUCCUUAGUUGGAUGUCUGUCUCUCUGUACACCAUCAUAAUUUAUUUGGAGUACUGCUGUCUCUCUGCAUCCUAUUUGUUGCUCUGAUUUUUCAUGUACAAAAUCUCUCUGAAUUAUUUAAAUGAGACAUCCACGUAAAACAUUUCUUGAAGAGCACGCAAUUUGUGGGAUGCCUUCCAUAUUGCUUUGCUGCAACCAAUACGUAAUAUAUAUAAAGUUAAACCUUUUCUCGAAAAACAAAAAAGAUAGAAAAUUUGGCAAAAAACUAAAUACAGAAUCCUAUUUAAUGCAGAUUUGCAAUGCAUGAAUUGGGUUUUUCAUCGCGAAAACCGUUCAAGAAAUGUGCUAGAGUUGUUGGUGAGGUACGGUUGCUUCUAUUGUAAGAAUUUCUAUAUAAGUUUCCCCAUAUUGUACUUACAACUUCAGCUCUAUUGUUUUGUAUUUUCAGUAGCAAUAUGAGGAAUUUGGUUCUUGGGCAUUGUAUAUCAUAAAACAUAAAUGCAUUUCUAUGUUCAUGCCUUAUCUUAUCUUCAAUAUUUCGAAUAUAUGUUUCCUUUUUCGCAGGUGUUGGGAAAAUUCCACCCACAUGGAGAUACUGCUGUCUAUGACUCAUUGGUCCGGAUGGCCCAGGUAAAUCAUAGAUGAUUUCACAGUUUGGUUCUCGUAAUUAGAUACCCAUCCUUUUGGUUUCAUCAAAGAAACAUGUACAUAUUUACCAAAACAAAAACAAGAGUAAAGAAACUUGUACGUUAGAGUGAAUGCACCUUUUAAGAUACCGUACUAUUUCGCAUUCAGUUUGGCAGUGUGCAUGGAAAGAAGUGUUUGAAUUUAUUAACUGUUGGAAGUAUUAGGUUUCCUUUUUGUUCUCGAGAAGAAUGAUAAUACAAAACUUCUCCUUAUCUGAUCAAAGAAUGUCUUUAACUUUUGAGGAUUCGGGCAUUUGUCUAAUGCAAUUGGUUUUCUUUGACUACAUUGUAUUUUGAUUCAUGUAAUACUGUUGGUUAUUUAGUUUUUUCUUUUGGGGUAAAAAAAAUAUUAGCAGAGUCAUGAUUAAACCUUUGCUAAAUAUUAACAGUUACAGGAUACAAUAAAAUGGUGUUAGAGAGUGCAAUGCAUAAUGUUUUCUCUAAAAACAUAUGUUUUAUGUAAUUGCCCUCGUUGUAUUUGUGCAUAUAAAUCUUAUAUCGAAUAGAUAAUAUACUUCAUGGGAGUGAAAUGAAGAUUUUCAUCUUUUGCAAAAACCUAACCAUGAGUAUUUCUUGAGUCACAAUGUUGAGGAUGUAAUUCAAGCAUCCCAACAACCAACCAGGGAAAAACAAAAAUAGGAAAGAAGUGGAAGACAGACGUUAAAACUUCCUGUUGUAAAGAACAUCAUUCCGCCAGAUUCAGAUCGAAAAGACCUUUCAUUUUUUAGAAUCAUCAGUUUAGAAACUCAUAAUCAAUUUUUUUUUAUUUUUUUUGAAAAUUAUUCAUCUGGUGAUACUAAGGUGAUUCCCAAAAUCUCAGAUCAGACAAAUCCUCCUAAUGGAGUUUCACCCGAGGGAGCAAGUGUCCAAUUGGCUCCUGUGGUUGUCUGUUACAUUCUCUAUUUUUCAAAUAUACUACAUGUCUACUUCGCUGUAGCAUUUAAGGUUUAUUGAUACGUUAUGAUAUUCUAUUCAAAUAUGGUUCCUCUCUGAAUUUAGUUAGAUGGCUAUCCCGAAGCUUAUGCACUCUUGAGGUUGUUUCUCUAAGUCUUGAUAUUAUAUGAUGGCUGGAGGAGUACUAUUUGUCCCUUGAGGCUUAAUCUUGGGGCAUAUGUUGAGACUUUAGUAUGUUGUCUUCUGUGAAGUUGUUUCAUUGCAAACUCUACACUGUGCAGUUUAUGGAACUUGAAUGCUCUUAGGAGAGUGUGGGUUUUUGGGACAUGCUACGAGCAUGAAAUCCCGUGUUCAAACUUUCAUUGUGCUUUUAGUUUUCAUUUAUAGUUGUUAAAAACGUCACACUACCGUCAUUAUUUUGUCUGCUCUUUCUUUGGCCUCUUGGUUAUUGGUGGGGCCAUGACUUGUUCCAUAUUAAGGUACCUUGAUUGUUUUUGGUUUCCUGCUCGUAAAGUAUUAAGUGAUAAGAUUGUUUUCCUUGUCAAUACUCAGUACUUUUCAAUGGAUGAUUUUUUUUCUUCAUUUUGAUCUCAAAAACACUGAAUACAUUGCUCUUGUUUUUGUUAAAAUAUACUUAUUAAGUUAUUCUUUCCGUCCAAUGUUUUAAAAAACGGUCCCCCUAGCGCCUAGGCGGCCUGGACCAAAAAUCCGCCUGCCUAGACCCAGGCAGCCCUACAAGGGCAGAUGUACCUGGGCGGGCGCCCAGGCGGGCUAGACGGGCGCCCAGGCGGGCUAGGUGGGUGCCCAAGCGGGCUAGGCGUUUCUCAUUUUUUUAAAACUACGGGGUGCUGGGCGCCAGGCAGGCCGCCUAACGUUUUUUGAAGCCUUGUUUCCCUCUUCAAAGAAAGAACAAAGUUCUUCAUUCUGUCUUCAUAUUUUUAAAUUAUUUUAACAAUUUAUUACCUAGUCUAGAAGUCAUAAUGAUGUGUGAAUUUUGCAUUUGAGCUGCUGAUACUGUUUUGUGACUUUUAGGACUUCUCAAUGCGUUGCCCACUUAUUCAAGGGCAUGGGAACUUUGGGUCUAUUGAUGCUGAUCCACCUGCUGCAAUGAGAUAUACAGAAUGCAGACUGGAAGUAGGUUUGAGCUUGUGCUUAGUUUGGCCUAUCUCCCUGUUUAAUAAUCUCUAUUUGCAAUUCUGUCUGUUUAAUCAGCUGUGUCCUCCCAGUUUGUGAAUUUGAAUGAAAGCUUAUGUUGGAAUUAUUUUUUAAUUUGUAUUUUUAAUUACUGUUGGAAAUGUGGAUUUCUUGCUGUUGUUAUUCUGGACAUCUGAUCUGCACGGAAUUGGUUUUAAUUCUUCUGACAAAUGUUUCAUCGACUAUAGAAACUAGCUGCAAUUUUUGUCUAUAUGGAAAGGGCUAUCUACACCCUUAUCAUUGAUUCCUUGGUGCUGAUUCCAACUGAUCUACAAACUUCUGCUAAAUAUGUCAUUUGUGUCACUUUCUGUUCUUCACAUUUUCCUUUUUUUGUUUCUUGAUUAUUGGUCGAUGAAUCAUCUUGAAGGUACUCAUUUGUUUAACUUGAAAACUUUCAGGCACUCACAGAAGCUAUGUUUCUGUCAGAUCUCGAACAAAACACGGUAAACAUGGUCUUUCUCAUGCUCAUUAUGGCAUGGUGUCUCUCAAGGCUGUUUUUUACAUUCUCUUAUGUGUUAGUUGUUACAAAUUGUUAACCAACUGAAAAAACAAAAAAUAGUUAUUUCUGGAUCUAAACUUCAAUGACCCGUAUGAGCUUUACAAAUUUUUUUUUUGAUGCGUGCUUCGAAGUGUUUAUUUCCUAGUGCUCGAUCUUGAGAAUAUUUAAUUUUCUUCCAUUGCUAACAUUGCAAUGUUCAGUUAGUGGGAUAGAUAAAAGUAAAUGCUUGGGUCGCAAAGCUAAUGAAAUUUAAAUCUAUUAAAAAAAAAUUAAAUCUCUAUGAAAUGUAUUCACAAUUUAUGUCCUGCUUUUCAUAAUGAAUAUUUAUUUUGUUUUUUUUUUUUCUUGGAAACAUGCCCAUCAUGAGUAAUCUUUAACAUAAUGGCAUUUUUGGCCACCUUUGGUUGAUUUUGAGGAGAGUGUACUCAUAAAUUUCUUUAGCUCUUUGGGCUCAUUCAUCAGUUGGAUUCAUUGAGUUUUCCUCUAUUUUCAUUGGUAAACCAUUACUUGAAUUGGAAUAUGAUUGAUUCUCUUUGGAUGUAAAUACAUAUGUACUACUUAUUUCUCAAAAAAAAAAGGUACUACUUUAUGUCAAUAGCACUAUAUUUUAAAACAUCCUUGCUAAUGUUUAAUUUGGUUUCAGGUUAAUUUCGUUCCUAACUUUGAUGGGUCUCAGAAAGAGCCUUCGCUUCUGCCAGCUCGAGUUCCUAACCUUCUGUUGAAUGGUUCUUCUGGGAUUGCGGUGCGUCAAAGGUUUUUUGAGUUCUAGACGCACUUGCACUCAAUUUCUUUAUUGUCCAUCCUAGUUUUUGAGUUUCAUAUGUUAUGUUCUAUGCGUGCAGAGAAUGAAAACAAUUAUUCUUAAUUUUGUGAUAUUUCCUGUUCUGUCAGGUUGGAAUGGCAACCAAUAUCCCUCCUCACAAUCUUGGUGAACUGGUAGAUGCACUCUCUGUAUUGCUUCAUAAUCCUGAUGCUACAGUAAGACAUGAUAUUUUCCAUUCCUUAAAAGUUUUAUUCUUCCCUGCUACCUUAGCGAAAAAAUAAAAUUUUUAAUCUUGGGUGUUGUAUAUGUGUCUCGGUGCCCCUGUUUUUACUUACAGUAAAUGGUUUUUGUAUGUACCAUUGAAACACUGGAUAUAAAUCUGUGAUGUUGUGUUUUCUUGAACCUAAUAAGUUGCAUGAGGUCAUAUGUUUUUGAAGUACCGCUACAUUUUUUUUUUUUUGGAAUACCAUUUUCUUGCCAUAUUUGUGACUCAACUCUUAUUCCAGAACCAAUGAUGCAUAGUGUCAAAAGUUUACAGAAUUGAACAGCUAUUAAUUGGGAAAAUUUUCAAAUCAUACCUACGGUUUGUACUGUUCAAGAUUUCAUCAUAUCUUUUGGUCUAAUUUGAAAUUUCCCUGACUCUGUUUAUCGAAUCUCAUAUAACCGAUCAAGGGGCACAUCAUUAUGGGUUUUGAAAGGUAUCAAAUCCUAUCUAUGCUGAGAUGUUAAUUAGUUCAAUUUUUAGGUGUGAUUUAAUAAUUCCCUUUUUAAAUUGAGCAAGCUGCAUGCCCCUGUUACGCAGUUAUAAUGAUGUAGGUUUCAUCAUGUGUUUAGUUCCAGGAAACAGUUCAAAUGACCUGAAUCCUUCAAUAUAAAUUUUAUACCGGGACAAGGUCUUCCUAUUGUUCAUAAUAGAGUCUGAACUCUCUUGCAAAUGUCAAAGUCUCUUGUGGUCAUUGGUUUAGUUGGUUGAACAACACCAUAAAUGAAAUUUGACUUUUGAUGUGGAAAAAUCUGCAUUUUCAUGUGUCAAUUUUUUCCUCUAAAAGAGACCUGCUUUUCAAUGUUUGCAGAAAUUGCUUAUUUAUCUUCAUGUGUGAUGAUUGCUUUUACUUUCCAUCCUUGGGCUGUUUCUGGUCCGGUAACCUUUUUUUCUGAUAGGUUUAGCACUGUAGCCUUGUUACACAGGACUUUUUUAUUUUUUUAUUUUUUAUUUAUAUAAAAAUAGCCGUGGAAUGGUCUCUUUUUUAAGCAUAUUGUAUUUUUUUGAUCUGGGCAUUUUUAACUCUUUAAAACACUUGUUCAAAUGGGUAGAUUACUAUUCACCCCCGAAAUUACAAUUCCUAAAUGUCUGAAGGGCUACUUGUUUCUCUCUGGAGUAUGGCCCAUUUUCUAGGCACAUGCUGUUCGAUUUACGAACCGGUUCGUCAAGGCUAAGAGUCGAUUUUUAUUUCAUUAGACUAAUAUUACAGGGGCAAAUGAGCUCAAGGCAACGGUGGGUCACGGUAGCGGGUGCCGCAAUGUGAUGUCUUGAGUUCCAUUCGCACCAGUUUAAAGUCAAUAUUUAAAUAAAAAAUUACAAGUCAGGCUUGAUAUUCAAUUGGACUGUAGUUUGUGUAUCGGCUUCUUUCAAUUUCCGAUUGUCUUUUUUAUGUUUAGUCACUCAUGUAUGGCCUACUAACUUUAAAACUUUGUCUUCUACACAAGCUCCAAGAAUUAUUGGAAUACAUGCCUGGACCUGACUUUCCAACUGGUGGUGAAAUUAUGGGAAAUAUUGGGUAUGCGAUUUGCAUUCCUCAUACUAGUUUUAUUAUGUCUUUCCCUUGGUUCACAAAAUGGUACAUCUGGAUCAGAGUGCAUCAUUGUUUUCUGAUUUGUAGCUUCUUCUCGUGAAGGAUUUUAGAUGCUUAUCGAACUGGUCGUGGGCGUAUAGUUGUCAGAGGAAAGACCGAUGUGGAGGUGCUUGAUGCAAAAGGCAAGCUCUCCGCUCUUGUAAUUAGAGAGGUAUUUACGUUUUGCAUUUCUUUUCUUCUAGAUAUUUUUGUAUACUUUCUUUGCUUCUUGUUUAAUCACUCUAUGUAUCGCGCUCUCUCCUCCAUCUCUCUAGAUGCUACUGUCAUUCCAAUCAGAUUUUCAAAUGAUCGUCUUUGUUACCACAUGCAGAUACCUUAUCAAACCAACAAGGCUUCCUUAGUGGAGAAAAUUGCUGAGCUUGUGGAAGACAAGGUUAUGUAUUAUGUAUUCCUUUUCGGUUUCUUCAUUGCAUACCAAAUCAUCUUAUUGACAAACUUGUUCUGUACAACACGUUUGUUAUUGUAUGUGGAUUAACCACGGGAUGUGGUUGAUUUUCUUUUGCUCUUUAAUGUCCAUGAAGGAAAACUUAAAACAUGAAACUUACAUAACAAAACAAUGGACCCUUGUGACAUCUUCAAACCAUAAUGGAAUAGGAGUUAUUUGAACCGGGGUUUAUGUAGUUUCUCAGUCUUCCAAUGUGCAUAUCUGAACGUGGCAAGGAUGUUUUGUUUAUUCUUUAUUUUUGCAGAGCAUAGAGGGUGUAAGUGAUAUUCGUGAUGAGAGUGAUCGAUCUGGAAUGCGGAUAGUGAUUGAGGUUUGCAUGUCUUGUGCAUUUAUGGUGGUCUAGUUUUUUUGGGGGAAAAUUUGAUAUGUUUGUGUUAUUGUAUGCUGUAAUCUAUAAGAAGCUUAUUGGAUUGCCAUAGUUCUCUCAUUGUAAUGGUUUUAUCAUUGGACAUUUUGGUGGCAGUUAAAGAAGGGGUCUGAUCCAUCCAUUGUUCUCAACAAGCUGUACAAACUAACUGUACUUCAGUCGAGCUUUAGCUGCAACAUGGUGGGGUUAGUUGCAUCUAAACCAAAAUUUGAACUUGUGUUGAUUUUGAAUCUUAAUGUGGUUACCUUUGCCAUGCUAUGGUAGUACAAUAAUAGAGUUUCUUUAUUUACUUCUAUGUUGAAAAGUUGGAAAGAAUGAUCAUGUGGGAGGUUUUGAAAAGCCAUUUACAGUUUCAAUUAUGAUAUUUUUUCCUAUUUGCCUGUCCCUCUUUUCCUGCUGGUUGCACCACUUAAUGAUUAUUCAUCUUGAC